UAAUUUCCAUUUUUUAUUAACUAUUGUGUAGAGUGUAGACAACUAUGUUUACUAUAUUACCUCUUCUCUUAAAACAAGAUGAAACUUCAAACACUCUAAGCUACUAACCAAAUUUCUUGGUUGAGCAUCAAACUAACAAUAACAUAGACAAGGCAAAUUUGAUAGUUUCAUGAACAACUUAGUACACAGAAUCACAAAGGAUAAGAAUAUGAAACCAAAACAUUGCAUCCCCAAUGUUCAUUUCAUUACAAUACAAGUACAUAAAAGACUAAAACACCCUCAGUUGCGACAAAUCCUAGCUGUUGGCAUGGUAACACAAACAGGUGCAUAUGCUUUCUUAGCUUCUGGAGAACCACGUUUAGGUUCAUCAGCCAAAGCCAUCCCAGCAACAGAACAAACAGCUGCUGCAGCAGCAGCAAACAUGAUGUUCCUCCUUCCAUUGGUUCCUUCCUUUUCAUUCUCAUAACUCACUUUCAUCUUUUCUACUUCAACUCCUCUAGCAGCAUUAGCCACCACCAGUUUCCUUUGAGUUGCCACGGGAGACCGGGUGGCGAUCGCUGAGCUGCCGGCGAAGAAUGGUGCUGUCAUGGUUAGUGAUGCCAUUGAUGUGGUGUGUAGUGGUGUAAUCUUGAUCGAAUUCUGAAAACUAGUGCUUGUAUGUGUUUGUGAGUAGUUAAGUUAGAUAAAAAGGAUAUAUGGAAUGUAAUGUAAAUCACAAACUUGGAACUUGUAAGGUCAUCCACUAUCUUAUCUUGUAGAAGAAAUGACCAAUCAAUUAUUGCCACGUUGGAUUGUUGAUCCUCUUGAACUAGUGGCCCUGAAAUUAAAAUUUUAGUCCCUAAAUUAUAUGAAAAUAAUAAAUGAAAUAUAAAAUCUAUUAAAUUAGUCCCUAGUACCUCUUAUCAAUAUAUAAUCUUAGAAAAUAAUCUUAGAAAAUAAUUUGAGAUUUCAUAUAGUUUAAGGACUAUUUUCUUUAUACUUAAGGAACCAAUUAGAUUAAACUGAUGGUUUAGUCUAUGUUAAAAAACAUGUCUUACUAUUUUUUGUGUAAGGGUUGCCUUAUGUGAGACAGUGAUAUAAGACACUCAACAUUUUCAGUCCAAAACAGCUUGCUAAAGAAUUGCAAUCACGUUCACUAUGUUUUGCUUAAAUCUUAUACAUUGAACUGAAUUAAAUAGAUUACAUUUGGACGUCAAUAACUUACAAAUACAACAUUCAUUUUUCUUGUAUUAAAGUGAGCUGUUACAUGAGUUGUACUUGUAUGUAUCACUUCAUUUCACACAAAAAAUGGUAAUGACUCUAUUGACUUUUUUCAGGCUCGGGGAACCUAUGCGCAUAUAACAAUGGCCUCUUCUCUUGUUUUGUAUGGAGGAGGCAGUAAACUGUCUACAUUAGCAAAAAGAUCGGUGCGGCCAGGAGAUGGUUCUGAAACAGGCGAAUCCAAUACAGAGUCAGGAAUUGCUUCAAGGGUCUCUUCAAAAAAUGAUUGUAUUGUCUGCAUAAUUCAAAAUUCCAGUUAGCAUUUGAAUCAAUCUAUGCAAUAAAUUAUGCAAUAACUUAUUAAAUGACAUUUGAGAGUAAUCAAAUUAUGCAACACAAACCUGGCCUAACAACUGAAAAUAAUUAUUUUUUAAGUCUUAAACUAUGCACUCAUAGAUGAAGAGUUAUUUAAAGAUUAUUCGACCACUUGUUACAUGAUUAUGCUAAAAUACUGAUCAUUUAUGUAAGAUUGAAAAGAUUACAUAUUUUUGCUUGAUGAUUAAACUUUGUAUAUACUUUAAAUUGAUUAUUUCACCUAAUGCGUAUACAAAAUAAAAACAACAUUCCCUUUUAGCUACUCAGCUAAUUAGGUUUCAGCAUAGUAACUAUACCAUGCAAUUUCGAAAAGCAGCAUCUGCGUUGCGCUUCCACUGUCCAUUCCCAGGUGCUGAAUGGAAAAGAUUGAGUAAAGGCUGCAGUAACACAACAAACAAUGGUCAUAUAAUAGCAGCAAAUUGGAGGUAGAAAUUUGAAUAUCAUUAAUAGGUAUAGAACUUGCUUCAUGCAAAUUGAGGGAGAAGGGAAAAAAACCUCUCCAAUCUUUAAAAAUAAAAUAUGAACCCUUUAAAAAAAAGCUAAUAAGCACUAAGCUGCAUGAAAUCAAAAAAUGUGUGCAUACUGAAAAACUACAUGAGAUACUUGGGUUACAUCUAUACAUAAGAGACAAUAGCUUUACUAAAUAACAGGUAUUCUAUACAACACAGGCACUACAUAAGUUUCCAGAGAAUAAAAGAGAGUAAAAAUUGAAGGUUACCUACCUUUACGAUGUCUCGUACAGUUGGCUUAUGUCCAUAUUUUCCCAACACUGAGUCCCCAUAGACUAUAUAUUUUUCAAGAACCUUAAGUAAAUAAGAUAAAUAGUUAAGACAAAAAAAUGGUAAACUGAGUAAUGAGAAAGUAUCAGUGCAAUUUAAUCGAUGGAAAUACGAGCAUUGUCUAAAUGAACCUGACGACGUGUAAGACCACAGCUUGGUGCACCGUAAAUUGCAGUAUCAACAUGUCCCAAUAUAUUCCAAGGGCUGUUGAGAUUAUCAACAACGGUUGUUGAAGCCGUCACAUAUGAAAUUUGCAGAAACAAUAUUAAGAGGGUUGAAUCAACAAAGUAUUGUUAUAGAAGCAAUUUCCAAUGCCCCCGCUUAAAACCAUAAGUUUUUAGGAAGAUUCACUAAUUAAAUAUUAAGGGGGGAUUUUGUAUUUUUCACAUACUUAUAGAAUGCUGCACGUCCAAUCAUAACGCCAUGAGCCCCAGCUUCUCGAGCUGCAAUGACCUAAUACCGAAGUCCCCAUGAAAACAGUCCAAGAUAGAAUCAUCAGAACAAUAUGCAGUAAUUAUAAGAGAACAAAUUAAGUUUAGUACUGAAUUUUUUUAAAUAUUCCUACAAAUAUCAGGUUUGACACAGAAUCACAAAGACAGUGACAGUGGCUUCACCUCAUCAACACUAGCAAUACCCCCAUUUAUUGUGAAUGUUAAAUCUGGAAAGUCUCGUAAGAGGCCAUAAAAGUAUUCGUAUCUGCAUUGAUGAACGGGUCAUACCAUUUAUAAUUCUACACACAUUAUUGUAUUUGUGUAUGUACAUGGGUAUGUGAGAGUGUAUAUAUUAUGUGUAUGACUACAAAAACCAAAUGUAACAAUAACGUACUUUAGCGGAGGAAUACUCCUAUUUUCAGCCGGGCUAAUGCCAUUGAGCAGUGCCUUCCUUGAGUGAAUUAUGAAAUGCUUAGUGGGUGAUAAAGAAGAAACAUUGAAUAUGAAAUCACCUGAUAGACAACAGAAAGUUCAGUAUAAAACCCCAAAGACCAUGAGCCAAAUAUUUUAUAGAAGAAACUAUAACCUAAGACUUAAUCACAAGCACCCAUCCUAGUCUGUUUAUAAUGAAAAGAUUGCAAUCAAGAUCCCUAAAUUAUAGGGAUAAGAAUGAGACUUACAAUCAGAAAGAUGUAUACAAGAUAUAAGGUAUCUAUAUAAUAGGAAUAAAGGAAAGUAAACCAUGAUUUAGGGUAAUGUCUCAACAAAUAGCAUCAAAGUGUUAUCUUGCAUAUGCAAAUGGAAUUCAAAUACUAAAUCCCAUGGAACAUCCGAUAGACAUGUUAAAUGUCUAAACGAACUAAUUUCAAUUUGUAACAGUAUUAUAUAUUGUAAAGGAGAGAUGGUGGCAGGUUUGAAUAAAGGCCAAACUUAUAUGAAGCAAUAUGACUUUUGGCCAUGUUUUAGCACAAAAAAAGGGUGGUCCUAAAAACUCCAUCAAAACUAUUUUCUGUUAGAUUCUGAUAUCUCUAUAUUUCAGAUUAAUCCAUAAUACAAAACUCUUCCCCUAUUGCUACUAACCAGUCAUAAUAUCCUACAAGAAGAUUCCUGGCUCCUAUCAGCGUGUUAUAAUUAUGCAUUAAAAAAAACAAUAACCAAGGGAUUCUGUGAUAAUAAGCUCACCAUGCACCUAUAAAUGGAAUAACCUUUUUGAGUGCAACUAAAUAAAUGCUAGCCACCGAUUGAGUAUAGCUAGUUGCAAAAUCUUAUAUAGAAUCUACGUACAUGUAUCUGGUGUACUGCAAUAUAAUUUUUGCAUAAGAAUGUAUAAUAAAGGUCCUUACACAGUUCAUCGUAAGAAUCAUGAUCGUCCACGCCAAUUCGACAUUUGACAGUGACAGGUACAUUUGUACUUGAAGCAAUUGCUGACAUAGCCUCAGCAACAAACUUUUCUUGUAUACAAUAGAUUUCUAUAUCAAUGCAAGUUGACAAGGAAAACUUAUACAUUCAAUCCAAUUGCAUGCUGUCAUAUAGAAUUAAUGACAAUUUUCUAACCUUUGGAUCAAGCAUAAGACGCACACCAAAACUCCCAUGUCCAGCUACUCUUGGACUUGGGCAACCACAGCUGAUAUAUAUCAUAUAUGUUUAUUUAAAAAAAUAGAGUCAGAGACCAAUAGCAGAACAAUGAAUCUUUAGGAUUUAAGAUGAUAGGAUACAUAUACAAACUUUAAAUUGAUCUCGUCAUAGCAAUAAGCAUUAGCAAGUUCUGUUGCUUUUGCCAACCUUUCUACAUUGCUCCCUCCAAUUUGAAGCACAAUGGGAUGUUGUUCCGGAGAGUAUGCCAAGAAUCUGUCCUGAGCAAAACACAUAAAAUGAAAGAAUAAAUGAUUUUACAAUACGAUUUAUCCCAAACUGAUGGUUGAAUAGCAUUCCGUCAAUUUCUGCUUUAGUUCAAACACUGACACAAAUAUCCUCACUGCUACGAUACAAACAAUUGAGUUAUAAGCAUAAAUAUUGAAAAACAAGUCCUAUACCGAUAUAUGUGAACAAGCUAACUUAUAGAUUUACACUUACGAGAUUAUCCUUUUGAUGAACAAUUGUUUCAGCUGCAAGCAUCUCGGUAUACAGCCAAGCAUGCUUUGAUAUGAGGCGCGCGAGAGUCCUAUAGUGAUUGUCCGUCCAAUCCAUCAUUGGAGCAACACUGAAAUUCAACCAACACAAAGAAAGAAAAGACCGAAAUAUGUUAACAAAAUCAAAAUUAAAGACACAAAACUACUCUUGAAUAACAAAAAUUGCAGAAAAUAUAUAGCACUACAGACCUAAACCAAGGAGGAAGAUAGCCUUUGGCAACAGCCUCGUGUUUAUCAUUCAAUUGUCGUUUCGCACAAAAGAACCUUGAAGUGCAUAAACUUCUAGGGCUUCUUCGAGAUAUACUCACCUGUAAUCUGGGAGUAUUUUUGAUGAAAUUGGAAGUUAAAGGAGAAAAUGAAAGGGAAAUGGAAUAGCCUGGAAACUUCAUAUUCAUCGUCCCUUUCAAUAAACCAUGGCCUGGUUUUUUUGUAACCUACACAUAAAAAAAAAUCAUUGCUCCCACUGAAACACACACUGAUAAUAGAAAAAUAUGUAAUGCGUAUAAAUGAAGUUGUGAAGUGAAGAAAAAUAGAAUAUACGUGAAGGAUGGAAACUUGUUCCGGCGCUGGAUUCUUCGUCGGCUUCGGCGGUAGCGUUCACGGAUUGAGUUCGCAAGAGAAGGAGAAGUUAGUGUAUAGCUUAUCCGGCGAAUUAACGGUGAGCGCUUGUGUUUUCGAAAAAUUAUGAUUAGUUUUUAAGGAAAACUAUAGUACUGGAAUUUUUUUAAUAAUAUUGUCUUUGGGAAAUUUUUAUCCCAACAAUUAAACUCCGCCCCUAUAAUUCAUUUUAUUUGACGAAAAGCAUACUCUUAUAUAUAUAUAUCUAAAGAAAAAGGAAACAAAAUUUGUAUUCCAGAUGACUUUACAUAAGUUAUCAUCUAAUUACAUGACUUUAGACCCCAAUAAAAACUGUGGUGUAAAAUAAGAAAAUCGUUGAGUUAUUCUUAAUAAUUUUAGAAAGUUUUUCUAUUAAGUUAUUCUAUGUAUAUUAUAUUUGGAAAAAAUUGCAUUCUAGAUAUAUUAUCCGAAGAUUAAAAAGAUAUAAGUUUAAGUUAAAUAAAUUGUGGAUUAAAUUAAAGAAAAUUAUUCCUCUCUCUUAUCAAAUUCACUUUUUGUUAUUUUUACUUUUGGUAACCGUAAAAACGUGGUAUGUCCACUUUUAACAACCAUUUUAAAAUCAGUUAUUUAUUAUGUCAUUGCGAUAAAAAAAUUUACUAUAAAUUUUAUAAUUAAAUUAUUCGGCGAAUAAAAGAAAAAUUACUAAAAAUUAAUAAUUAAAUUAUUUAAUAAAAGAUUAUAAUAUUAAAUAAUCCAUAUAAGUUAUCUGAUGAAAGUAUAUAUUAUAGUAUUUGAUUCUAAUUUAUCUUAUGAAGAAAAAAAAUUUAAAUAACAUUUUUCAGGUGAGUAGGUGUACAAAAAAUUUCUAAUUUCAAAAAAAAAAGUAAAAGAUUUAAUUGAAAUAUUUAAAAAAAUAAAUAAUAGGUUUAAUUGAAAUAUUUUUAAAAAUGUAUGGGUGUGGAGAUAAUAAUGGGAUAAAGUUUGUUGUGUUUGGUUUGAAGAAAAAACUGUGAAGAAAUAAUUAAAAAAUAGGUAUUAGCAAAUUGUGGAAUUGAAAAAUAUUGAAAAAGUAAUUGUAUUUUUAUAAUUCUUUUAACAAUAAAGUUGUAAUCUCUUAUGGUUAAUGUGUUAUUAAAAAGUAUAUCUAUAAUUCUCUUGACAAUACAUAUCUUUGAUAUAGUUAAUUUAUCAUCAAAAGGUAUUUUAUAAUGCUCUUAAUAAUAAUGUUGUGAUCUAUAGUUAAUCCAUCAUUAAAGGUAUCCUAUAAUUUCUCUUAAUAUCUUCUCUCGCAUUCUACUUAGCAAUUUAGAUGUUAAUUGUAGUUUAUUUGAUAGAUCUUUAAAGCGCGUCAGAUGAUUUGUGUUAGUGAAGAUUUCAAUAACUUGAUACGUAGAAGGAAUAUAAAUCAAAUGUAUGGUGUCAUUAGUAACAUGAUGGAGCACAAGUUGAUAAUCAAUUUCAAUGUGCUUUUUUACGCUCAUGAAAAACAUAAUUGUGGGAAUUUUAGAUGGUUGUUUUAUUCUCGCGAUGAAGCAUACUAGUAGAAUAGUGUGUAACUGAUCAGUGCAUUUUGAUGCACGUUCUUCCAUGUUUGUACUUAAGCAUUUCUUUGGUUUGCUUUACUUAUUUUUAUGUUUUAAUGUGUUUUUACAAUUUAUUUUAUUUUUGCACUUAUUUUGUUUUCGCAUUAUAUUUUCAGCAUUAGCAGCUUUCACGAGAAAAAUCAUAUCUUGAGCUACGAGUAUCAGAUUGAGGCUUGUGAGUAUGCGUUGGAAAGAUAAGGAAAGAUCUACAACUUUUGUUCAGAAGUCGAGAGCUGAAUCGGACUGUAGCAGGGCCAGAAAAGUCUGUUGAAGUUGCAGAAUUUUAUUUGUAUUUUUGUUGGGUCAUUUGUAGUGGGCUGGGUCGACCCAGUUGAGUUGUAAAACGGGUCUUUGUUUUCCCCUAGGUCGAGCAGCCGUACACCAGAGGGAAUUGAACGGAAAAAUCACUAUUCAUGCACGAAUUUGAGAGCUUGCAAGAAAUGACUAUGGAGAACUAAUUUCCCAAGAAUCAAUUCACUGUAAUCGGAUGCCACUUUGAGGUUCUUUUAUAAUUUUCCAUUAAUCUGUUCCUUUGAAUUAUAUCUAUAAUCACAAUUACUUGAUUAAUUUAAUUGUUUUUACAUGAUAUAAUUCUUUAAUUUGAUUGUUGUCUGCUUUUGAAUCAAUUUCGUGAUUAGUGUAGCUUUUGCAUUAUCGCGUUCGAUCACAUUGCGUUUGCUUAAUUCGCAAUAGUUUUAAUCCGUUUGCUUUACUCGAAAUUCAGGGGCAUACUUCGUUAUAAAUUUAUUGCGCUUGUCAGUAGCUUUUGUAAUCGAAUAGGAUCAGACUCGUUUAGGGAAUUGGAAUUUUAUAGGGAUCAAUGAUAAGUCGGAAGAUGAUAUAAUGGGUUGAUUCGUUUCAGCUUAUUCAAAUAAUCACUUUUCAUAAUCACUUAUUUUCUGCAUUUUGUAAUUGAACACCAAAUCAACCCCCCCCAUUCGAUUACGUUUAAUUAUUACAAACAAGAAUCCUUGAGACGAUAUCCGAGUUUAAUUGUCGCUGUAUUACGUUUUUACAAAUUACUCGUUGGACAACUUGCUACUCAAAUAAAUAACAUGCAAGCUCAAGGUUCGAACCAACUUCCAGCCCAGACAGUUUUCAAUCCGAAUGGUCCUAAUGCUAAUGUGAGCGCAAUUCUUUGAGAUCCGGAAAACUUACAGAACCAGCCCUGAAAAAAAUAAAAAAAUCAUUGAGGUAACUUUUGAAUUCUCCUUCCGAACCUCACUCAGCUGAACUUUCUUCUUCUCUUCUAUUGUGGUCGAAACUGAAAAAUUAAAGAAAGGAGUAUGUGCCACCAGUCCCUUUUCCACAUAUAGUUCUGAAAAAUAAAAGAAUUGAGGAGGGAGACAAAGAAAGAGAGAUAUUGGAUGUUUUUCGAAAGGUUGCGGUAAACAUUCGCUACUUGAUGUUAUUAAGCAGAUUCCUAAGUAUGCAAAGUUUCUGAAAGAUUUGUGUACCAACAAGAGGAGGAUUAAGGGAAGCGAAAAGUAAACUUAGGACGAAAUACUUCUGCCUUUAUUCAGCCCAAACAAUCAUCCAAACAGAUUGUAGGCGAGCAAAAGUUUCAGCCCUCACUACUCAGGUUCUGCCACAAAAGCAGAAGGAUCCGGGAACAUUUGUUAUUCCUUGUACCAUCGGGAUAGUAAAUUUGAGAAUUGCAUGCUUGAUUUGGGAGCGGGCAUAAUGUUAUGCCUACUUCUGUUUAUAAUAACUUUUGUCUUGGUCCUUUGCAGCAUACAAGUUUAAUCAUUCAAUUGGCAAACAGGAGCAACGCUCGACCCGCCGGGGUAGUCGAAGAUGUUCUUGUUCAAUUAACGAUUUGAUUUUUCCUGCAGAUUUCUAUGUUCUAGACAUGGAAGGAGAAACCAAGGCAAGCGGAGCUCCAUCAUUUUAGGCAGGACCGUUCAUGAAAACGGCGAAGACAAAAAUUGAUGUUGACGAUGGAACCAUGUCCAUGGAAUUUGGUGACAUUGUCGCAAAAUUAACAUUUUUGAUGCCAUGAAACACCAUGUGGAGGAGCAUUCCGUUUUCAUAUUGAGCUGAUUUCUGAAUUAGUUGAUGACUCUAGUUCUGAACUAUUUGCGCUUGAUUUUCCAUCUCUCUCUGAUUUUGAUGAUAUUUAUUCAUGUUCUGAUUGUACUGACACUAACGUUUGUGUUGUCUAUGCUGAGAUUGAUGCUGCCUUACAGGCUGAUACAUUUCCGACAGGUGAAGUUGUUACCAUAACUUGUUUUUGCAGUUGAUGCUCUUGCAUUUCCGGCUGCCCCAAGCACUCCAUCCACCGAGCAGCCCCCGUCCUUAGAGCUAAAAGAGCUCCCUGAGAACCUGAAAUAUGCUUACUUGGAGAGUAAUGAGAAACUCCCUGUUAUUAUCUCUUCUAACCUUGAUUUCGAUCAAGAAAAUAAGCUUUUGCAGAUUUUAAGGAAGCAUAAAAAGCAUUUGGUUGGACAUUGCUAACAUUCCAAUUCAUAUCACCUUCACGUGUCCAUUUGACACUUUACUUUUAGAAGAUUCUUUGAUCCUGGAAUAAAAGGCGAAGAUACUAUAAAAAUUUCAAGUUCAAUGGACAUUACCCAAGCUAUUCCUGACAACCCCACUUUGGAAGAAGAAAAUGUAGAAUAUAUCUCUUUGGGAAGGCUGCUUAUGUGAUCACCUAUCCUCCUUGACUACUCGGUGUGUUCUUUCUCUCUCUUCUCUCUCUUAUUUUAUGUUUGUUUCUUUCAUUGAGGACAAUGCAUAUUUUAAGUGUGGGGGAGGGAAUACUUUAGUUUUCUGUUUUGUUCUUUAUUUUGUUUUGUUUUUAUUUUCUUUCUAAAAAAUUGCAUCUUCUUGAAAGUUUUAGGCUAUAGAUUAUUUUGAUCGAGUUUGCGGAGACUGAGAAAAUUCACAAAGAUCGGUAUUGUUUUAACACCGUAAGUCUCCUGCCAUAUGGAAAUUGAGUUGAAUUUUUAUUAUGUUUUAGCCUUAAAUUCUCAUUCUCUGCAGCUCUUGAGUAGUUUAUUUCAGCAGUCAGCACCAUCUAACACACACUCUACGCAGGGAAGCCGAUGAAUAUAAGUGAGUGUUCCGAAAAAGAAAAAAAGAGAAAAAAUAAAGGAAUGCACCUUCUAAGUUGGUGACCUCACCCGGUCACUUAACCCAACGGUUGUAGAACCUUCAAAAAAGUUUUUGACUCGUUGUUAGUUGGUUCAGCGGUUUCUGGUGCUGAACUUGGUAGGGCGAAUUACGGUCCGAUCUCCCCGCAACUACAAGUGAGUAAGCAAAGGGUUAUGCCACUUAAGUACCAGAACCCGUGCAGAAAAGGAUCAGAGUCACUAACCGGUCGCCUUGCUAUGAGUGUGUGGAGAUAACGGGCUUAAUUGAUUGCGCCUGAAUGAAAAAGAGCAAAAGAAGGAUGAGUAAGUUAGGCUUUAGUAUAUAUAAUAUGAUUCGCGUUGAUUUGUGUAUUCAGGAGUGAACAGCCCUGGUCACUUGAGUUGAUUGUGCAUUGCACAUUGCCAUGCAUUGUUGAUUGUACAUUGACGGUGGCUUUAUACGUCUGUUUUGACUGUGCUGAUUGUAGUACUGAUUGUAUGUGAUUGAUUCGUACAUUAUUGCUAAUAUCUUUGAAACUGUUGCUGUGCUUGUGUAUAAACCAAUUGAGGUAGACUGCUUGUCUCAUGUAGCUCUGAAGACCUGGCCUGGCUACUGGCCAGGCAACUGUCUGAUGGCCUCCUUAAGAGCGAUUUUGUGAUUGUUUAAACUUUUCCCCAAAGCAGGAAAAGACCGUUGAUUAGCAAUUGGCCAGAACCCAAGGAUGUGCCAAUCCAUCCCCUGCAAUUCUUGGUUGAAUUCGUCCCUCUGCUCACCCACUGUGUAGAUGCAUUGGGACAUCUAACCAAAUCAGUGGAGUCAGAUCUUGAGGUAGAAGGGUUCUCCUUUCUGGAACCCACACUCCUUUGUCUGAAGCUCUCCCUGGCCAGAAGAGCUGUGAAUCUAUCUUCACUCACCUUUCAUCUGCUCACCCUGACUCUCAAUGUCGGGUUAAGAGCUACACCACCCUUGUACAGAUGAUUGCCUGGCCCAGUCUGACCCUUGUUUGAGCCACCCUUUGCGGAUAUAGGUGUGCCAUUGCGUGACUUCCUAAUUGGCGUGUUCGAACUGUUCGCUGUUGAUUUAUUGUCCAGAUAGCUCGAUUUUCUGCUUUUCGCUUGUUGUUAGAUUAGCUGCUGUCGUCAAAGUGUAGAUAAGAACCAUCCACAAUAAGAGAAUCUCAAAGACAUUAUUUUAACAUCUAGAGUCUCGUAGUCCAUGACUCCCUUAUGUUCGUGUCUCCCUUCUGUUAUUCUUCCUGUUUUAAAAGCUAGUCUUUCUUACCCUUUAAGGUAUUCUUACUGUUCCAACAUGAUCCAAUUUAUUAAUAUUAUUUUUAAUCUCAGUCAUCGAUUUUGGAUGUUAGUGCCUUGCGAAGGUUCAUUUCGCGAGCGAAUCAACUUCGGAUCAAAACCCUUUUCUUUUGGUGUUGUUCUUGAACAAUUAAGCUAGGGACCCGGAAGGAAUUCGACCGGAACUCUUAGUAAACUUAUUUGUGUUCUUCUUUGUGUGUGUAGGAGGGCGAGAGAGGAAAGUCACUCAUCAUUAGCAUCCCAUGUCACUCUGUGUGCCGUUGGUUAAGGUAGCAAUAAGUUGCAUAGAGUGGCAAUCUGGAUUACAGUGUGAGGUCUGAUAAUCUUGGCUGCGGACUAGAAACUGAAUGUAAGUACACAGCUAAUAGAUGUCAUUCCGUUCUCAUUUUUGCUCUUUCCCAAGUAAAGAUGGAAGUUUGUUACGAAGACAAGUUGGCCUCGUGAGCCGAACUACGUGAGCCUGCUAUUCCUUCGCUUCCCAGCGAAGAGACUAGGCAGUAGGACGCGGAUGUCUACACAAGACGCCUCUGCCCCUCUCACCCACCGUGUGUUAUUUAUUCGUGUGGUGUGUAUGUAUGCGUUCACAACCUUUUGGCUAUUACUUAUUGAGCUGUCACGUCGAUGUACACGUUGACUGGAUGCAUCUCGAGUGCUAAUACUCCGCCGUGCGUAACCGCACUCUCCCCGAUACCACCAUCUCUGCCUUCAUAGGGAUACAAGCAAAAUUGCAAAACACAAAUCACACAACACACGAAACACCGGGAGAAAUAGACGCGAAUGCUUUCCACUUUACUCUGACUUUCCUUUCCCUCUUUUGGAUAAAUAACGCUUUUUUAGGUGCAGCUCUGUUUUUUUUUGUUUUAGGCCCGCAGGUUUUCGCGGAUGCGACACUUCAUCACUACUCGUUUAGCUGAUGAUUGAAUGGGGCAGCUUGUAAACACCCCAAAAAUUCCCCUCCUCAUUCAUGCAUUCAUUUCAUAUUCAUUCAUCAUGUCAUCAGAAUUAGAUCCGAAAAAAAAAAACGAAAAAAAAAAUAAUAAUAAUAAUAUUUUUACAAAAAAAUAAUAAAUAAAAAUAAUAAUAAAAAAAUAAAUAAAAUAUAAUAAAAUUUUUGACUUGGUCUCUUCAUUGAGCCCACAAAACCAUGAAAUUCAGUCUAGGAAAUUUACCAAGGCUUCACUUGGAGAAAAGUGAGAGAAGCAAAAAAUACUCUUGACCGUUUCCUUGGAACGAAACCUGACAAAACCUGAAGAAAAACCUGGGUUAUGUCUGCAUAACUGUGAAAUUAGUUUCUUACAACUCUUAUACUAUGGAUGAUGACUCAGAGAGCUCAGCAUCCUAACUCCUGAAAGGUGGCACAGUUCUACAACCUGGAAUGAUCGAAAUCUUUGUUCAAUAGUCACAGCUCUGCGCAAUUCAGGUAUUGCCCAGUAUAACUGAUUCCCAUAUUAUUUUGUAUCCAUUGUCAAGUUUUCUAAUGGUCUAGAUAUAUUGGGUGGAUUUGCUAUGGUAGAGUCAAAGUAUAGUGGGGGGAUUGAUAGCAUAUUGAUCCAGUGCCAUUGUGUGAAUGCUAUCGAAUCUCCCAUGUUUGUACUAAGUCGAUUCUUUAUGAUUUAUCAUGUUACUUAUUUGUCAGUUCAUGAAUGUUUAUGUCAAAUUGUAUGUUUAUUAUAAUCAGCAUACUCUUUCAUUUGAUUGUAAUAUAUCAGACAGACUUUUUAUGUGAUCUGUUCUAUCCUACCAUUCAUGGUCUGCGUUCGCGGAGAUGUAAUAUUAUUCAUUGUGUAUCUUGAGGGCUACGCGUGCUAACAUCAGUGCUAUGAUCGGUGGGGUGAUGAUAUGACUGUGUGUGGAAUUAUGCACCACUUAUAUACUAUUGUAGAAAUCUACCCUGUUGAGCGUGUUUCUUAGCAGAUUCAGCAGCGAGUGUGAGCGAUCGCGUCACAUUUUCUUUGAUCCAUUAUGUUGCUGGGAAGGGUCCCUGGGGGUGCCCCUAGUACAUACAUUAUAGUUCUGUGCUGAAGUUACUGCGACGCAUUUCUAUCAGUGGUUAGUUUUAUCUGUUUAGUCGCUCUUUUCACUUAUUGUAAUCGGCGUUGCUCUUAGCUUGAAGAACCUCGAUAGUAGGGAUUUCUGAUCUCCUUUAGUUUAAUAUGUACUUUGCUAGAAGCACGCCUUGUGUCUGCUUGCUAUUACUCUCAUACAUGAUGCGUGCAUGUCUGUGUAUUGUUGUUCCGUACACCAGGGGAUAUUCCUUCGAAUCGGGCAAAAGGGAAAAUCACUUUUACAUGCGCGGGCUGAUACUCCGUGUGACGAUGAGAGCUGUAAGGGCAGGUAUGUAUUCAUGCGUGCGAAAGCUUACUUCUCCAACACACAUCUAAAACCAUAUCACUAAGUCAACAACACGCGAUGGUUAACUCCUUACUACAGCGAGUAAGUCUUCAAGGUCGUAGUGAUUCGGUGUCAUUUGUAUUUAUAUUUGUCCCAUUAAAGUCGGACGUUCUCGGUCUGAUUCCUAAUAUACAUCACUCUCAUCCUUUAUCUUCCUCCUUCAAUUAAUAUUAUUUACAUGAAUAGAAUUCUUUAAUUUGAUUUGUUGCUGCUUUUGAAUACAAUUUCGCUGAUUAGUUAGCUUUGCAUUAUCCGCCGUUCGAUCAUUUGCGUUUGCUUAAUUCACAAUAUUUUUUUUUUUUUUUGUUUUAAUCUGUUUGCUUUACUCGGAAUCAGGGCAUACUUCGUAUAAUUGUUAUGCGCUUGUCAAGUAGUUUUGUAAUCGAUAGCGAUCAGACUCUUUAGGAAUUGGAAUUUUAUUAGGGAUCAAAUGAUAAUCGGAAGAUGAAUAUAGUGGUUGAUCUUUCAAGCUUAUUCAAAUAAUCACUUUUCAUAAUCAACUUAUUUUCUGCUUUUUGUAAUUGAACACCAAAUCAACCCCCCCCCCUUCGAUUACGUUUAAUUAUUACAAACAAGAAUCCUUGAGACGAUAUCCGAGUUUAAUUGUCGUUGUAUUACGUUUUUACAAAAUUACUUGUUUUGAUCCGCGCGCGACAGCGGAUCAGUAACCCUCAUAUCAUUUAGCAAUCAUUGUAACCAAAGUAACACAAAAGUAUGGCACAAUAUUUAGAUUUUGUGUUUGAACGAGGAACCAUGUUUGAUUUUUCCUACCUCGGGAAAAAUAGAACUUCCUAAGAAGAAAUAAUACCAUGUUGAUGAGCGAAGAUUUGUUGGGUCGUGUUGAAAAAUAUAUUAUUUUUGAUUUUAUUAUUGUCUUUAAUACUACCUUUAUUUUUCUUUAUUCUCCAUUAAGGAAAAAAUCAAUUGUAAUAGUUGUAUCUUCACUAUAUAGAUCUACCCAAGGUUGAGGAAUAAAUCAUAACAGCUUUUACCUAUUUUUUCCAAUAUGGUAUCAAGAGCAUUGGGUUAGGGGUUAUUGUAAAGUUUUCCACAACUUUUACCUAUUUCAACCCGCUUUCUUGCCUGACCCGAUUCACAUACCAGUUUAGCCUCUUAUGGCGAAUAACAACAAUAGAUGACCUUCCCCAUCAUAGGCCUACACAGGAUCCAACCAUGGCAACACAACCGUAACCUAAGUCGGGUGUUCGGCCGCGGAAACAGCGUACGAGAGGAACCGCCGGUGAUCAUAAACAAUGGCAGUAAUGACGACAAUAAUGGAAAUAUGAACAAUAUUAUUUUUGGUGAGAGUUAUUCCAACAUAGGUGGUAAUGAUCAAGAGGGUUCCUCAUACUCCCUCAAUGUCAAUAUCCCUAAAAUGAAUGGGAAUAACUAUAAUGAAUGGGCUCAAAUCGUUCGGUUGGUAUUGGAUAGCAAAGGGAAACUCGGGUUCCUAACAGGAGUAGUAGCUGAACCGGCAACAGGAGACCCUCGUUACAAACAAUGAAAGUCGGAAAACUCCUUGACUAUUGUGUGGCUGGUAAGCUCUAUGGAAACCGGAAUAGGUAAGUCUUACAUGGUUUUACCUUCCGCAAAGGAUGUGCGGGAAGCUGUUAAGGAAACAUACUCUGAUAUUCAAAACUCCUCUCAAAAUUUUGGUUUAAAAUCAAAGUUAUGGCAUGCGAAACAAGGUGACAGGAGUGUAACUGCUUAUUGCAAUGAGUUGUUGACAUUGUGGCAAGAGUUAGAUCUCUGUUAUGAUGACAAUUGGAGGUGUACAGAAGAUAAUAUUUUGUUUCUCAAGAGGCAAGAGAAUGAUUGUGUACUCAUGUUUCUCGUUGGGCUCAAUGAAGACCUUGAUGAGGUAAGAGGUAGAGUUUUAGGAAAAAUACUAUUGCCAACUCUUUGUGAAACUUUAGCAUAAAUAAGAAGGGAGAAGGCACGACAAGGAAUUAUGAUGGGCAAGACACCACGAAGAUCUGAAUCUGAAGGCUCGACCUUGGCUAUUAGGAACCUUGACGAGGGAAGAAGGUUAGAUAAAGUCCCUUGGUGUGAUCACUGCAAACGUGAAUGGCAUACACGUGAAACUUGUUGGAAGCUCAACGGAAAACCUCUUAACUGGAAGAAUAAAAAUGGACGUGCAUUUUAGACUAGUAAUUCUGAUCAAGGGCAGAAACCCCCUUCGUCUCAGCUUCCACUCACUACGGAGCAACUAGAUAGACUAUACAAACUCCUCGAGUCUCCAACCCCUUCUUGAUCUAUAGCAACAAAAGGUAAUUCUGCAUUUUUAUUGACAAUCUCAGUCAUACUUGGAUAGUAGAUUCAAGUGCCUCCGAUCACAUGACAGGUGAAUCUACUUUAUUCUCUUCAUAUAGUCCAUGUGCAAGUAAUCAAAAAAUAAAAAAUGCAGAUGGCUCUUUUUCAUCCAUUGCAAGUAAAUGGUCAGUUGUGUUUAUAAAUUGUCAAACUAUUUUUUUCCGAUCUCAGUGUGUCUUUCAGGAUUUGAACUCGGGGAAGAUGAUUGGCAGUGCUAAGGAGAGUGGACGACUUUACUACCUUGACAUUGGAUUUGCAUCACAACUACCUUCAAAAACAAUAAGUCCCUGCUUUGAAGUCUUUUCUGUUUUGAAUAAUAAAGAUGACGGCAUUAUGGUAUGGAAUUUAAGAUUAGGUCAUCCUAAUUUUCAUUACUUAAAACACUUGUUUCCUAAGAUAUUUCACAAUAAGAACUUUUCUUCGUUUAAAUUUAGAGCAUGUGAGUUUGCAAAGAAUCAUCUUUCCCAAUUUUGAAUACAACCGUAUAAAGCAUAAAAACCUUUUUCUAUUAUUCACAGUGAUGUUUGGGGCCUUAAUCGUACAAGUACACUCUCUCUCGAAAAUGGUUUAUCACAUUUAUAGAUGACCAUACAAGAGUAUGUUAGGUGUACUUGUUAAAGGGGAAAUCAUAUGUUUGUCAGGUUGUAAAGAAUUUUUUUCAAUGGUGCAGAACCAAUUUCAAACAAAUAUCCAAGUCUUUUGAAGUGAUAAUGGAAAAUAAUAUUUUAACACUAUCCUGGAUGAUUUUUUUUCUAAAAAUGGGAUUGUACAUCAAAGUUCAUGUCUUAAUACUCCUCAACAAAAUGGAGUGACCGAAAGGAAAAAUAGACAUUUACCAGAGGUUGCUAGAGCUCUACUUUUUUCGAAUAAAGUACCAAAUUAUUUGUGGCGCGGAGUUGUUUUAACCGCUGCGUAUUCAAUUAACAUAAUUCCCUCCAAAAUUCUCAAUUUUCAAACUCCAAUUAAUAUCUUCAAAGAAUGUUUUCCUAGUACUCAUGUUUUAACUGAUUUGACUUUAAAAAUCUUUGGUUGCGUAGCCUUCGUUCAUUAACAUAAAAAUGUUAGAAAACUUGAGCCACAUGCUAUAAAAUGUGUCUUUGUUGGAUACUCCCCAACCUAAAAAGGAUAUAAAUGUUUUGAUCCAAAAAAUAAGAAAAUAUUUGUCACAUGGAUGUUACAUUCUUUGAAAAUAAACCUUUUUUUGAUGACACUCAUCUUCAAAGAGGGGAGAUGAAUGAAGACUCGUUUCAAAUUGAGGACAUGAGUUUUUUAAAUAACUUAUAUUUGCCAGUAUCACAAAAUUCUGAGACUUUUACACCUGCAUCAACAAAAAAUGGCCAUGAUUCUUUAUCUGAUCGUACUCUUGUUAUGAGUAAGGAACCUUGUGAAUCCAAGCCUAGAUUUCUCUUGUAGAAAACAACGAGAAUCCUGAAAAUGACGAUAAUGAUGAUCUAAUUGAAAUGCCAUAAAAUAAUGAGUCACUUUAAGAAAAUAAAUUUGAAUUAGGAAACGGGACUUGAAAAGGAAAUGUUUUUGUGAAAAAGCACCAUAAAGGAAAGGACCAGUCCACUCUCAACACUGCCAGGAAUCUAAAUCGGGGAAUGAUAAACUUCCUAACAAAAGGAAAGGUAAGUCUAUCUCUAUUUUUUAGAGUUGUAUUUUGUAUCCUGAUAUAGAUGAUCAUGUUGCCAUUAGAAAACCUGUCAUAUCUUGCACUAAACAUCCCAUGUCCAAUUUUAUAUCAUAUUCAAGUUUGUCUUCAUUUAUGUCUGCCUUCACCUCAAAAUUGUCUAGUGUAGAAAUUCCAAAAAGUGUACAGAUUGCUCUAGAAAUUUUAAAGUGGAGUGAAGUUGUACUUGGGGAUAUGAAAGCUCUUGAAAAGAACAAAACUUGGAGUGUUACGUCACUACCAGAUGGCAAGAAGACAGUUGGACGCAAAUGGUUAUUUAUUGUGAAGUAUAAUUCAUAUGGGUUAAUUGAAAGGUACAAGGCUCGCUUGGUGGCUAAAUGUUUUACUCAGACCUAUGGUAUAGAUUACUCAGAGACAUUUGAUCAUGUUGCAAAAUUGAACACUGUCACAAUUCUUUUGUCUCUUGCUACUAACAUGGAUUGGCCUUUGCAUCAGUUAGAUGUUAAGAAUGCCUUUCUUAAUGACGAUCUAGAAGAAGAAGUAUAUAUGGACAUUCCUCCUGGCUUUGAAAACAAAUUUAUAUCAAAUGUAUGCAAACUAAAUAAGUCUUUGUAUGGAUCAAAGCAGACCACUAUAGCUUGGUUUGAAAAAUUCACUCAGUCCAUGUAGAAACAAAGGUACAUCCAAGGACAGGCUGACCACACCUUAUUCACAAAGUUCUCCCACAAUGGGAAAGUUGUUGUCCUGAUUGUUUAUGUUGAUGAUAUUGUCCUUACUGGAGACGAUACAGUGGAAAUGUCAAGAGUAAAAGAGAAAUUGGAAGUAGACUUUGAAAUCAAGGACCUCAAAUUCAUGAGAUAUUUUCUAGGUAUGGAGGUUUCUCGGUCAAAGAAUGGUAUUGUGGUUUCACAACAGAAGUACAUUCAAGACUUGUUGAAAGAAACAGGAAUGAGUGGAUGUUGUCUUGCAGAUACCUCUAUGGAUCCUAAUGCUAAACUUUAGGGAGAAGGUAAUGUUUUUGUUGAUAAUGGAAGAUAUCAGAGACUGGUUGGAAAACUGAUUUAUUUGUCACACAUCCGACAUGAUAUUGCUUUGUCAGUUAGUGUAAUGAGUAUGUUUAGGCAUUCUCCUUUCGAGGAACAUCUUAGGGCAGACUAUAAGAUAUUGAGAUAUUUGAAGGGAAAUCCUACAAAAGGAUUAUUUUUUAAGAAGACUAGUGAAAGAAAUGUGUUUAUCUUCACCGAUGUCGAUUGGGCAGGUUCAGUCACAGAUAGAAGAUCAACCUCUGGAUAUUGUACCUAUGUUUGGGGUAAUCUUGUGACAUGGAGGAGCAAGAAACAAGGAGUUGUGGCAAGGAGUAGUGUAGAGGCUGGGUUUAGAGUUAUGUCUCAAAGUAUUUGUGAAGGAUUAUGGAUCUUUAGAUCCCUCACUAUGCCAAAUAAGGGAAAAGAGGGCGCUUAUUUUGGCCUAUAACAGCGCUUUUAAGCGCCCUCUAAAGUGGCGCUGGCAUAGGUAAAGACAGCGCUUUGUUUUCCUGGAGAAAGCGCUGUCUUAUUAAAGAAUAAUUUACAUAUACUUACACAUCGUCUUAAACAUUUUGGGCACGCUUCACGACAGCCCCACUCCCUUCCCAACCCGAGCAGCCUUCCAUAAUACGUGCUCCGGAAGGAUGUUGCAUCACUUUUCUCCUCGGCUAGCUACACAUUGAAUUAGAUAUAAGAUCAUCAUAUACUAUAACUAUUGUGACAAAUGUAUAAGCUUCAUCAGCAUUUGAAUAUACUCACAAUUCUUUGUUGUAACCUGUGCAUAUCCCGUACGCCCUUUUUUGUACGGAUACGCGGGUUUUGAUGCCUGUUCCGAUUUUUGCUCGCUUACUUCCUGGAUAAAAAGUUUAAGCAUAUUAGAACAAGUAACUUAACAAUUGUAUAAUACCAUAAUUAAUAGACAUUACAUGGAAUUUUCGUUUUCUUCGUUUGGCGACAAAGUUAUCCCUCAUCGGACUAAAUAAUCUCGGCACUAACUUCAUUGCCGUCUGCUUCAACAAUUUUCCUUCCUCAUCCUUAGAGAAAUUGUUGGACAAAAAGGAUCGAAAUCCUCGGAGUCUUUUUCCGGCCAAUUGAAUACAAUAAUUUGCCGGCUUUCAUCGAUGUGAAAGGAUCUCUAAAACAAUACACAUGGAGUGUGUUAUAUAAAGUAAUUAUAUAAAAUAUUGGUCAACCAAUAGUCAAACAAAAAAAACUAUAACAAAUAUAUGGUAAGUACCUGUAUCUCGGACCAUAUUUUUUCUUUGCCCACUUCAAUUCCGGACUUUCCAAUUACACAUGUAUCGGAAUGUUGUCGAACAAGGAAACCAAUGUAACUUGCCCACACAUUGAACUUGUUAGGCUCAAUUAGUUGGUCUUACAUCCACAUCCAUGUACUUCAAAUUUCCACCUGUCUCUGUUUGCACGAAUGAUUGACUUCAUACAGUCAAUCCUCGUUUGAUUUCUUUUUCAACAUUGUUACGUGAUCCAUUUGCAGUCUGGGUUCGUCUUGGUGUUAGCCAUUUUAUCUGUAAUAUAGAAAUGAUUCAAUAAGACCAAGUAGCAAUGACCAUAUUCGUGAAUGACUACACAAAAACACAUUCAUAUACCUUCCAUUUCUCUCAUGUUACACAUCUAAACUCUUUUUUUUUAUCAUUAUGAAUACAAACUCCACACAACCUACUGCAUACAAAAGACAUGCAAACUUUAUGGUGUUGGACAUGAACAACUUGCAUUCCAUAAUCAUCAACUUCCAAGAACAAGCUCAACACACUUCAAUGAUAUCAGUUUCAUCAGAAUAAAAACUCAGUUUGCCCUAAAACAACAUUAAGGCACAUCAGCACAAUGUUAAACUAAGUUUAGAAAAUGCCCUAAUCAACACAUGAAGAAAGUGAACGGUAACGAUGGGAAAGAGAAAUACUUCAAGUGACGGUAACGUGGGAGAGAAGUGACAGUGACGGUGGGACGCAAAUAUCAGUGACGUGACGCAGCAGCAGAAAAAGGCACGGCGCGAUGACGUGAGGGAGGAGAACGACGGAGGACGAGAGUAAUUGCAGUAGAGGUAAUCGCAGUAGAGAGAAACCCGUGACGUAACGAAAUAGCUUAUUGAGAGGGAAUAAAGAGACAUGCAGUAUUAUGUUAUAAUUUUAAUGUUUACAAGGGACCUUAGAGGGCGCUUAUGUAAAAAGCUCCCUCUAAGGGGGCUAGAGGGCGCUUCUGAAAGCGCUCUCUAAGGCUUUUCAAAGCGCCUCUUAAACUGGAAAUGUACAUGGACUUAGAGAGCGUUUUUAAAAGCGCCCUCUAAGGGUAACCUUAGAGGGCGCUUUCAUAAAGCGCCUCUAUUGUUUGUCCCUCCAUUUCUCAUUAUUUUUUUUUUGGCUUCAUUUAGAGGGCGCUUUGUUACAAGCGCCCUAUAAGGGGCCUCAGAGGGCGCUUCUAAAGCGCUCUCUAAGGCUUUCCAAAGCGCCUUUAAUACUGGAAAUGUAUAUGGACUAGAGCGCUUUUUUAAAGCGCCCUCUAAGGUUUUCCUAGAGGGCGCUUUCGAUAAAGCGUCUUAUUGGUGUCCCUCCAUUUCCUCAUUAUUUUUUUCGCUUACUNNNNNNNNNNNNNNNNNNNNNNNNNGCGUGUCUAAAGUGGCCCUUUAAGGGCCACAUUAUAGUGCGCUUUCAGAAAAAGACGCCCUCUGGAGUGGUCCCAUAAAGGGACACCUUAGGAGGGCCGCUUUCUGGAAAAAGCGCCUCUUAAAGGUUGUCAAUGUAAAGUUUGUUAGAGAGGGCGCUUUUCUGGAAAAAGCGCCCUCUAAAAGUUGUCAAUGUAAAGUGUUUAGAGGCGCCUUUCUGGACAAAGCGCCCUCUAAAGUUGUCAAUGUAAAGUGUUUUGAGGGGCGCUUCCUACAGAAAGCGCCCUCUAAAGUGUUAGUUAUUUUAAAAAAAAUUGUUUGAAAAACAGUGGAUAUUUUAAUUGGUAACCUGUUCGCAUGCUGCCAAAAGUGUAAAAUUUCAUAUUGAUUUCAUCCUUUAAUCCAAUGUUAUACACUUAUCCAUUGAUAUAACAACAUGAAUCCAUUUUAUACAACAAUUAAUCCUCCUAAUAUACAACAUUAAUAUAUGAUUCUUUGAUCAACAAUAUCAACAAAUAUUCAUGAUUUAGUAAAAUACAACAACAAUAUACAACAUAUAUACAAAACAACUACAACAACAACAUUCCAUAAUAUAUGUACAACAAUAUACAACCUAGCUAUAUGAUUCUUUGUAUCAACAAUGAAUUGACAACAAUUCAUCCUUCAUUUCCUCCAAAUGAGCUCUUGGAGUAAGAUUUGUAUUCCUUAAAGUACUACAAUUAAAGAGAAUAAAACAUAUUCAUGAUUUAGUAACAAAUUAGAUGAAAUAUCCGAUAUAUUAAAAUAAACCCUAAGUUAUUAUUCCAUACCAUUUUUGGAUGUCUAUACGAUUCAACGCAAUGAUAUCUCUCAUAAAUCUCAAUACAAAAAUCCCGCAAUCGACCGAAUUAUUUUUUGCUGAGACACUACACAGAAGAAAAACAACAAUAUAUAUAUAGUUAAUUUUACAAACACUAUUAUAAGCAAAAACAAACACUUUAUAAGCAAAAUAAGAUACUUAAUAUAUACCUGAACUUGAGCCAGGUAAUGUCCUUCCUAUUGCGGUAAUUUUUUUCGAUCUAAUUUUAGUAUUGCCUAAACAAUAAAAGAUUUUUGAGAUCAAUCUGACAGACAUAAUUAAAUAUACCAAAUACACACGAAUAUUUAGGGGAAUUUCACUUACGCGUCAACCGUUUUUCAUACUCGGAUAUUUACUCCAAUCACCCGAUAACGAUCGAGAUAAUAUACCAUUAGUCUCGAAAGAUCCAUAGCAACCAACACCCAGUGACCACUGUUUAAAAUAAACAAAAAUUUAGAUGCAUGAAAAUUUUCUACGUAAAAGAUAUACAUAGAUUAGAAUGAAAUUAUUAGAAAGAAAAUCUACCCGUUGCCAGAAUUAAACGGUAAAAAAUACAAACUGGGUGUAGUAUUAUCGCGGCCGCCAUGAAUCUAUCGACUAGUUCAUUCUUUACGGAUGUUGAUUUUCGUUAUUAAGCGUUGUGUUGAUACGGGAAGCAGCAAUAAUUGAAUCGGUUACACAAUUCAGUUCCCGCAUCAAUGUUUACAUACAUAUCCUUAAAUAGAACAUAAUAAACAUUAGACUAUCAUUGAAAUGUGUAAAUAAUUGUUCAAUAAGUAAAUAAUAGAUUGAUCGGAGUACCAUAUGUAUGUAUGAAUGACAGCGAUGGCCACUUCUUCGUGUUCAAAAAGUUGUUGCAUGUCCUCCUUGGCAUUAUUUCGGAAUUGAGAAAUCCGAAAACCUUCAUCAAAAUUACACUACGGAUGGCGCCGUGUAUAAUAUCGGACUCUUCCACAUUUUCUCAAGACGCAAUCAUAUUGAGAUUUUGUCCGGAGUCGUUGGAGGAAUAUCGUUACCAGCUUUUUUCAACUUUCGACCAGGAACCUAAAAAUUCAAUAUAAAUUAAAUCAUGACUUUUUGUGAUGCAACAGAAUCGUUGCGUAUAUAAUUCAAUGGGUUAUAUAUUUGUACCUCUUUUGAGAUGCAACGACUCGAGCUGCCGUCUUGAAUCCCUUUACCAGCUUUAUGCGUGGGUUUGUAGGAGUCUACAUUACCAUGUAAUGGAUUGAUUAAUAUCUAAUUGUAGCUGAAUUGAAAUGUGAAUACUAAAUAUUCAUAAUCAUUUAGAACAUAUAUACCUCGGCAUCUGGGAAAUUAGAUCUGACGGCCAUCCAACAAGGAUCCGACUGCAUCUCGCAUCAACGUUGUCUCUGAAACAACGUCAGGUAACGGUAGAAGCGCGUCGGUAUCUAAUACAAGGUCAACGAAACUUUUAUAUCCCACUGGAGGGGAUUAUGGUGAAGUAAUUCACCCGAAGUGUUGUGCACUUUUCCCUUGCCAACCAUGCGAUAAGUUUGGUGACGAUAGAUACAGCUGACAAGGUGUAAUGCCCUAAACCAAUAAUAAUGUUAUUGUGAACGUGUUAUGUGUCAAGUAAAAGUGCUAUUUAAUUUCAUAAUAACAUAAUAUUAAUUACCUCGGAAAUUUCGGUUGACAAUUGAUACUAGCUCGGUCACUAGUAUCUUUUGCCUCGGAAGCGCACUUUCAUCCAUACCUUGCAUUCGCGUUUUGCAGUUGGAGUACUUGUGCCCUUAACUCCGCCAAGCACUACCAUCACCUACUCUUGUUGUGUUGUGGAUUUUGUUUUUGGUUUUUUUAAAAUGACGAUGGAGUCACACCAAAACCCUUACCCACACACGACCGGAAACUCAGGAACAUUUAGUACUCGACUAAGUACGCUCUUGCAAUCCUGGACCUCGUUGAAGUGUAAGGUUUGGGUAAGUCUCCUGAAAUAUUAUUUGAGGAGAAUUAAAAAUGAUAUAUGUCUAACAAAUUUCGAUAUAAUUAAAGAAAUAAUGUUACAUAUACUUACACAUUCGUCAUAAACAUUUUUAGAGCUCCCAGCCCAUCGUCUUUCCAACCCGUAACAAGGCCUCUUCAAUGCUUACUCUCAGAGCUCCCGUAGCACGGCAUUCCUUAUACGUGCUCGGAAGAGAUGUUGCAGUGUUUCUCUACCUCUUGGUGCACAACAGAUGUAGAAUCAUAGUCUUAAUCUCUAUCACUCUAGUUUCUUUCAACAAGUUCGAUUGCAUAUUGCUUACUUCUGUUGUGGUGAACAACUCGUAAUAGUUACCACUUUAUGUAUUUGACCGAGGUAUACUCACACAUUUCUCUCUUGUUUAACCGAUACUCGUCAGUAUCCCGUAACGCUCACUUGUCUUUUCGAUUGCAGAGAUUAUUCGGUCGCGCGUGGAUGCUUUCCUCUCUCUCUCUCUCUCUGUCAGAAAGCUUACUCUUGACGUAAAUAGUUUUAAGGCCAUAUUAUGACACAAUCCUUUGUCAUCUUUCUUUAUAACUUGUUCUGAAUCACCAUAUAUUUUACAUCAGACUGUAAUUUACACUGGGAUUUUCUUUCUAGUUUCUUCGAGUAAGCGUUGGGAUGAUUCCAUGACACACGCUUAUUCCAUUCAUCAGGUGAAAUAAUCUCGAAUAACUUCAUAUGGUCCCAGGUGCUGCCAACUUACAUUUAAUUCUCUUCCGUCUCCUCUCCGUGAUUGGAUGCGAUUUGUUGGCAAAGAAGAUACGAUAUUUGGAUUAGUGCUCGAGUGAAGAUCUUUUCCGGCCAAUUGAAUGUGACUUUUUAUUUGCCGGUUUGCGUCUCGUCGAUGUGAAAGAUCUCCUAAAUGGCUCCUUUCAUUCGUCGAGAUGUUAGAUCUUAUUAGUAUAUAAGCUUACUAUUACAACAUAUUGGAAUAUGGAUCAGGUCGAAUAUAGUUCAUAUUCUACAAAAAAACAACCAAAGCCUAUAGUUGGUCUUGCUUUUUGUAAUCCACUUACUCAUAAGAGGCUUAUAGAUAUCCUUAUUCGGUAUGCCACUAUUAUUUACUACUUUUUGAGUAUACCAUUUUCGGAUUGUUGUAUUCUCAUUAAUAGCCACAUGUAAUAGGGAGAUAUGUUGAGUGAAACAUAGAAUACGCGAAAACUCACAAUGUUAACCUUGCUCUUACUUUUGACUUCCUGUUAGGUAGAUCAAUCGAUUAGAGAAUACGGUCCAGCAUACUCCAAUAUUAACAUCUGUCUUACAAAUUCUUUCGUAUGUGUUACAGUGUGCCCACGAAUAUGAUACUUGCAUGUUUCAUUAACAGUGUACGCCAUCCAUCAGUAUGUGGAAUCUCAUCUUUAUGCAUUAUGCUGUGUUACUCUAGUUUGUGUAUCCAAUGUGAUUCUCGACUUACCGCAUGUCUCAAAAUGUGUUCUCUGAGUUAUCGUUUCGGUUAGUCCAUACCUAUUUAAUCUGUAAUAUAGGUAAUGAGAUUGCAAUAAGGCACCCAAGUAAAGACAUACAAUUGUGACCAUAUUAUGCCGUCGCAGAUAGCCAAAAAACGACAGUAGUGCCCUUGUACCUUUUCAAUUAAAUCCCUUACUCAUUUCUUUAUUUAUGUUAAUCAAACUCUACAUAUCAACUUACACUAUUGUUAAUUUUCUAUAUUUUUUGUCGGUGAACUCACAACUGUCUACAUUCUACUCGGUCCAUGACCCAUCAUGACCAAUGCAACUGGUACGUGAUAUUGGUUGUAUUGAAGACACCUCCAAGUUUUGUCUGUUAUAUCAAAGCACACUUGCGUUUCAUAUAAUCAUACUCAACUUCCGACAAGUGUACUUCAAAACUACAUACUCUCAUAUCCAUACUCUUUCAAUCAGAAAUAAACACUCAGUUGCCCUAAACAUUAAUCAACAUAAUGCACAAAAUGUAAAAUUAGUAUUAGUAUAUCAAUUGCGGCAGCCUCAAUCAAACACAUGUACGAAUGGUGAACUCUCACACUCUUUGGUUAACGAUUGAAUUUCGUAAGAGAUAUACCCUCUCCAAUAAGACAAGGUGUUUCGAGGUGAAGGCCAGACAUAAAUUGAAGACAACUUGAAUAUGAUAUAAAAUUGGACAUUGGAUGUUUAUGUGCAAGAAUAUGCACAGGUUUUGUGUACGAUGGAAGUAGUGAACUAGUGGAGGGUGCGCACCGAACAACAAUAACUCACGAUUGACGUGAACGCCAUUGAUCAUCAUUAUUAUCAGGUACAAAAUUUAGCAAGCAGAAACAGUCUGUCGACAAAAAGGCUGAGACCGAGAUGUACGCGGUGCAUAGGCGUGGUUACCUUUUGUUCGAGGCGAAGACUAGGAGUUCAUUCGCUCUCUCGCCAGUAGAGGCUAAUCGCGAUUAGUUUCCUGGCAGUAGAGAGAAAAACGCCCAUGUUGGUAAGACGAGAAUGUGCUUAUAUAGGGACAGAUCUCAACGUAUAUCAUGCCUUUUAUGGUGUGAUACUCGUUAUAUUCUCUCAAUCGCUCUACCUAAGCGACGCAAUCCUCUGAGGCGCUUAUGUAAAUGCUCCUCAUAAAGGGGAGUCCUCACACGAGGGCGCUUUUUGCACAGCGCUCUUCUAAGUGUCUAUUUCCAAUAAGCUGGAUCCUUUUUCUCAUCUGGAAAGAUGUGAACAUGGACUUCAGGAGCGUCUAUUUUAAGCGCCCUAUGGUCUGAGCGCGCAUUAAUCUCUUAAGAGGAUGUCAGUGUUCACUAAAGCGCUCUUUUUGCUAUUGUCCCUCCAAUUAUGUUUCUUUCUGUUCUUUUUUUGUGCGCAGUGUCACUUUAGAGAGUUUCUCGCCGUCUCUUUGUUACAAAAGCGCCUUUCUAAAGGGGUUGGCUCUUAUGACGGGUGAUAUCAGCCAUAAGAAAAUCGUAGUCUGCGUACUGUGCGUUCAAUGUCGCCACAACGGUUCUCCUUUUAAAAUGCGUAAUAUAAAUAAGAGGAUGGGACACGUAGAACAGCUCUUUUUGUAUUAAAAGGCACCGUCAAUUACGGUUGGGAGUGUCUCGUCUUGUGUGAUAUGAGCGUCCCUACUUUAGUGUGGCUGUAGGGGUUCUGCUUUUUCUUCAAUAAUAAUGUUUAGUGUUGCUUCUAUGGCCUAUUAUUGUGCGCAUUUGUAGUACAAAGCGGCCCUUCUAAUGCGGUGUUCAUGUGCCCAGUACGCAAUAUUCAUACAACUGUUAUAUUUUAUUUAUCAUCAUCUUUCAUUGAGUUGCGGUCUCUCUCUAGAUAUUUUGCGCCGAAACGAAUCGUAUUACAGGUGUGGCGCUUGUACUAUUCAGUUCUCUCGCCUCUUUGUAGUGAGCAUGAGUGUCAUCAAAAAAGGCCCUUUUAGUAUAUUUUCAGAUAUGAAUUGAGCUUCCCACUGAAAUUUAUAGCUACUCCUAUGAUGUAAAGGUUUGUUGAUAAAUAACAUAGUCUAUGUGUUAACAUAGUCCAUAUCAUGAUAUGUUAUAUAUGGCAGACAUAUCGUGCAAAACAUUUAUAUCGAUUCCUUUUUUAGGUUGGGGAGUAAUCCACAAAGAACAAUAUAGCAUGGUGGCUCAAGUUUUUCUAACAUGUUUUGUUACAUUGUGAACGAAGGUACGACCAAAGAUUUUUAAUAGUCAUAUAGUUAAAACAUGGUACUACGGUAAAACAUUCUUUUGAAGAUAUUAAUAUGGAGUUAUGUAAAUGAGAAUUGGAGCGGAAUUAUUUAAUGAAUUACGCAGCGGUUUUAAACAAACUUCCAGCGCCACAAACUACUUAUGCGGUCUAGUUAUUCGAAAAAGUAGAGCUCUAGCAAUCUCUUUGGGUAAAUGUCUAUCUUUUUUGAUCUGGGUUUCUUACCUAAGAUUAUGUUCGGUUCGCUCAGCGCGCAAUUCAUUUACCUGUUUCUUUAGCUUUCGAAGUGGUGCAGGACUGCAGUUAAGACUAUCCUGACACAUUAAGCAGCUUUUGGGUAAGAGGCCUAUCUCUCCUCGCAGAUAAUUCAUCAGACAAGUUAGGUGUCAUUGAUGAGAUAUACAUAUGCACGACUUGUGAGAGAAAAGGUAGGUUGAGAAAAUCAAUAUUCACAUUGUGCGGUUUUAUGAUUGAGGCCUUUUAAUGCUAUUUAAUAUAUUAUGUAUUAUUUAAUCUCUCUAUCUAACGCAUGAUGAAUUGCUCACAUUUUCUUAAAUACAAGUACAUUGUAUCUUUAUCCUUGUUAUAUUCUGGCAAUAUUGGAGGCUUAUUGACUAUAGUUCAUAACAGCUUUUCGCGUACUUUUUUUCCAAUAGGUCGCUUCCUAAUUGGUUUUCAAGUGUUCAGAUAAGACUAAAGACACAUUUGUAGUACGCAGAAGAGAAAUCUGUAAACCAUUGAAAAAAAGGUAAUUAUACACAACGAUAAUAUACGAAGAACUGCAGAGAAGAUGAGAUGAUUUGGGGAGAAGCCAUUAAUUGAAUCACUUUAUGAACAACGAAUGCAAUAGUGGGGUGUUAUGACAGUCAGGUAAACAGAGCCACCAAGAUAGUUGUUUCGUAUAAUAUGUUGGUUCUCAUGAGGCAGUGUCGCAAGUGGUCGUGGAGUUUUGAGGUUGCUUCACCGUGGUUCAAUCGUCCUUGGUUAUGAUGCAUACCAUAGAAAGGAAGUUCCAGAGGAAUACUUGGCCUAGGGAGGUAUGAUAGCUUGGAGUUUUGGGACUUUGUAGCCCAAAAAAAAGCUAAGAGACCAAGGGUCUUUCUAUUUCAAAAUGUUGUUGGGAUAUUGUCUUGUAAUGGUGAAAUUUCUAGGGACUGAUUUCAGUCUCCAUUAUGAUCAUGUCAGUCUACAUAAAAGAAGAAUUUAUAUACAAUGUAUCACUUCUUCCACAUUGAAUAGGGAGAGUCAUAUGUGACUAAAGAAGAAAUUAACAUUUGUGUUAGGAAGUAGAAACUGCAAAUUGGCAAACUAGACUCUAUGAAGGAAUUGUUUUAAACCAUAUAAGAGUUUUUUGGAGCUUAAAGGACCUUAUUGAGGAGAAUUUUACUUGGAGGAUGAUAUAAACUUCCCUGUGUCAAAUCAGCAUUGAAGGACACAUUUUUUUAAUUCCAAUCUGGGGAAAAGCUUUCAUUUUUUAUGAACUACAAUAAUGGCCAAAAAGACUACGAGCAUGAUAGUCUAAUUAUGUAACUAUGGAAUUUCCACCACACUUUAGAGUGCGCUUUGUUACAAAAGCGCCCUCUAAAGUGCGCUGUCUAUUCCAGUAGUAUGCUCCUUAUUUUUUCUCUUCACUUUAGAGUGCGCUUUUGUAAUAAAGCGCCCUCUAAGGGGCGCAGUCUAUUCCAGUUUUUGGCGUAGUGCCUAGAAGAACUUAAGAUGAAAAUUGAGCUUCCACUGAAAUUGUACUCUGAUAGUAAAGUUGCUAUUAACAUAGCUCGUAACAUAAGUCAACAUGAUAGAACCAAGCAUAUCGAGAUUGAUCGACACUUCAUAAAAGAAAAGUUAGAUGUGGGAAUCAUAUGUCUACCCUUUGUGACUUCAAGUCAGCAAACUGCGGAUAUCCUGACCAAAAGUUUGGUAAGACCUACUUUUGAGAAUUUGAUAGACAAGUUGGCAUGAUAGAUAUCUAUGCACGAACUUGAGGGGGUGUUGGAAAAUAUAUUAUUUCCGGUUUUAUUAUUGCCUUUAAUACUACCUUUAUUUGUAUUUAUUCUCCAUUAAGGAGAAAAUCAAUUGUAAUAACUAUAUCUUCACUUUAUAAACCAGCCUAAGGCUAAGGAAUAAAUCAUAACAGCUUUUGCGUAUUUUUUUCCAAUAGGUCGCCUUCCUAAUUUGUAUCAAGUGUUCAGAUAAGACUAAGAAUGAAUUAGCAGAGAAACGUAAACCAUGAAAAAAAGGUACAUUUAACACAACGAAUAAUACGAAGAACUGCAGAGAAGUGAGAUGAUUGAGGAGAAGCCAUUAAUUGAAUCACUUUAUGAACAACGAAUGCAAUAUUGGGGUGUAUGACAGUCAGGUAAACAAGACUACCAACAAGUUGUCGAUACAAUAUGGCAUUUUCAUGAGGAGUGUCGUCAAGUGGUGUGAGUUUGAGGUUGACUUCCAGUGGUGUCAAUUCAGUCUUGUUAUGAUGCAUACUCUAGAAAGAAAGUCAGAGGAAUACUUGGCUAGGGAGAGAUGAUAGCCUUGUGAGUCUUGGGAAACUUUGAGCCCAAAAAAAAGCUAAGAGAACCAAGGUCUUUCAUUUCAAAAUGUUUGUUGGGAUAUUGUUGUAAUGGUGAAAUUCUAGACUUAUCAUCUCCAAUUAUGAUCAUAUCAUCUACAUAAAAAAGAAGAAUUAUAAUACAAUUAUCACUUCUUCAAUUGAAUAGAGGAGAGUCAUGUGGACUAAAGAGAAAAUCAAAUUGUGUUAGAGUAGAACUGAAAUUGGCAAACUAGACUCUAUGAGAUUGUUUUAAACCAUAUAAGGUUUUUUGGAGCUUAAAGACCUUAUGAGGAGAAUUAUAACUUGGAGGAUGCAUAUAAACUUCCUUUGUCAAAUCAUCAUGAAGGAACACAUUUUUUACAUCCAUCUGGAAAAGCUUUCAUUUAUGAACUACAAUAAUGGCCAAAAGACUACGAGCAAAUGUUAUUUGAACUACCAAAUAAAUUGUAUUUUCGUAGUCUAUCCCAUACUAUUGAGUGUACUAUUUGGCUACUAUGAGAGCUUUAUAACAUUCUAUAGGUCCAUCAAAAUGCGUUUUAACUUUGUAGACUCAUUUGUAUCCAAUAUGAAUCUAGUCUAGAUGGAGAACAAAUAAGUCUCAAGUAUGUGUAUUUUCCAAUGCUUGAAUUUCUUAAUCAAUAAUUUGCUGCUAAAUUGGGUUAGUAAUUACCCUGCAACAAGAGGAAGGCUCGUGAAGAGUUUUAAUAGUGGAAUAUCAACGAUAAUCAUUGAGAAGAAGAGAUGGAUUACUGAUGUGUAGAAUCAAAAUUAAGUAUAGUUGUUAUCGUAUCCAUAAGGACUAGUGUGGUAUCACUAUCGUUCAAAGGCUAAUAGGCUUUUAAGUGAAGGGUUUACAUGAUAUUUGACUACGGAAAUUAAAGGAAUAUUUACCUGUAAAUGUUUAAGAAUAUGAACAGAUAGAUAAACUUGUCGAAAUAAUAUUUCAUUAAUUUAUGUCGCAUAUAUUCUACUAAUCGGUUAUAUGAAUCCUAGUUAUUAAUCUUUAUUAUCACGUAUCACCCACCGACAUUGUUUAUGUCUAAACAAUGGCGUGGGUUCUACCAUAUUAUUUAAUCGAUGAUCUCUUAGCCUAUUAAUCAAUAUGGUAGCAUUAAUAAUUGAUACAAGUAGUGAACAUUAAAUCCAUAUCUAUAUUUGGAAUUUAGAUUUUAAUAGGUGAUUAUCUUAAGUCAGGAUUCAAAAGGUAUUUCUUAAUAACGAUUCAAAUCCAUAAAAGUAACAUUUAAAUAAGGAUAACAUCAAUAUUGAUUCAUAACUAGUUCAUACAACAAUGAUUAUAAAAGAUACACACGAUUAUAAUUAACUACGUCUAAUCCCAACAAAAGAGAAGUUAGAUACUCAUUGUCAUGGUAGAUUGGUACAAGUGAGAAGAAUAGAGAUGAACGAGCAUCAAUAUUGAUUUAUUGAUGAUUUAUGUGUAUCCCUCUUCAAUUCCUCAAGACCUAACUUUCUCCCUUUCCAACAAGUGUUUAUAUCCCAGAAAAAUGAUAAGAUCACAUUUUUUUCAUGUUCUGAAUCGUAUAUAUAUUAGUCUUAAAAUCACACUCUUGCUAAGCCCAACCCUGUCGCGCUAAGCGUAACCAUGUUUCUUCACCAUGAAGCAAUUUGACACGUCAGCCUAAACUGCCUUACCUCGCUUAGCCCCAAAAAGUUGGGCUAAUCAAGCUCUCCCUUCAAGCAUGGUGGAAGCAUAAAUUUCUGGAUUUUGCUUGCUUUGCUUGCUUCAAGCAUGCAAGGAUCACAACUCUUUAGAAUCUUAUUUAUUUGCUCGCUUCAAGCGUGCUGGAAGCUCACUUCAAGCGUGUCGGUAGCGCGACUUUCUAGAUUUCUUUUAUUUGCUUUUCCUAUCACAUUCUUGCCUUGAACAAAUACGUAUAAAAUGAGUUGGACUUUCAUGAAGAAUGCAUAAAUUAAGUGUUAUCCUAAGACAAAUGGUAUUUACAUCAAAAAUAGGGUUUUUAUACUCUUAACUUAUGAAACAAGUUAAUAAGUGUGCUAAUUUCCAUGUGUCUAUGUCCCACAUUUUGCCAUGUAUCAAUUACUUACUCUGGUGGAAUGACGAGAUAUGUGUACAAUAUCAACAUCUGAAACAUGUUGGGUUUAACACCCAACUUACUGACUCAAUAAUUAAUAAAUAAAAUAUAACUCAAUCCAAGUAGGAUGUCACUUCACAAUCCAAAAAGUCUGAAUGUUACUUCAUUUAAUCAAAAAUAUAGUUCAAAUAGCAUAAUUAAACAAAAAAAUGGCAUCCACAACCUUAAUAAAUCAUCCAUACCAAAAGUGGUUCAUUAAUUACUUAAAAUUAAAAGAUAUGUAACAAAAUAACAUGAAUAAAACAAUAUGUUCCUCGGUGUUACUUAUCAGAGAAAUCCCACUAGUAGACUCGACUGAUAGCAACAUGAGGUACAAUCUUCAACUACUCAGGUACCUGAUUGUCUAUACUCUGAGGGAGCACAUACACAACAAACACAAAGGGUGAGAAAUUCAUUCAUAUAAUAAAUGAUGUAUAAUAAUUUAGAGAGUAUUAUUUAUUCACACAAAUCACAUUCAUUCACAAUCACACUCUCAACACAACAAAUGCACAAGCACAACAUAAUUACAAUGCAAUGAGACCCAAUAACAUUACACGAUGCAUGUGGUACCAAUUCUCAUCAAUGGUUCCUCAUACAAACCUGAAUCCCCCUUUAGAAUCCCGAACUCCCCCUUAUGAGUUCCAGAUAAGUCUUUCGUCCCCCUUCGAACAUAUGCCUUAUCUCCUUCAACAUAUCAAUAAUGAAUGUAUGACAUGGUAAUAAUGUAAUUAACACAAUAAUUAUAAUAGCAUUUAGUGAUCCACAAUCAAUCACACAAUUGCAACCAUGAAUAACAUAAUUCACCCUUCUGAACUACCAUUAAUAUAAUCAAACACACCCUCCCAAUCAUUCACAACACAUCAAAUAAUUUGUCAAUACGGAUCUUGUCCAUAUUCGUCACAUCAUACACUUCUUUCUCACCUGCUACCGACCUCUAAUAAAAUCGUUAAAAAUAUUUUAUCUCUGAAAAAUAUUAUAAUCCUCUGUGUUUUCUACCCAACACUUUAAACCCCAUAUCAAAAUGAUUUACGAGUUGAAAGUGAUGAUCAAAACCGUGCACAAAGACGUUACCAAAAAGUUAUUGUUUUUAUGAAAUUUUCAGCAUGAUUUUUAUCUUCUCGAACCCCAAAACGUCCAUGUAAUCAUCACCAAAAAUAUUUUAUCCAUGAAACAAAGUUAUAUCCUUCUAUUUCAGCUACCCAACGCUUCAAACUCCAUUCUAAAAUGAUUUACGAGUUGAAAGUUAUGAUCAAAAUCGUGCACGAAAGCGUUACCAAAAAGUUGAUGUUUUUCUGAAAUUUCCAGCAUGACUUUCAUCUUCUCCAACCCCCAAACGUCCAUGAAAUCAUCAUAAAAAAUAUUUAAUGGUGUUAAACUCAACCAUAAAUAGAUUAAUAUCAAUCAAUACUCAUAUUCAUAUAAUCACACCAAUAAAUCCACAAUUGCAUACCCUACCAUCAUCAUAAUCAUCAUCACAAACCCUUAACAUACAACAAACAUAAAAUUCAGCAAUAAUUCAAAAUUCAUCAUCAACAAAUGUUAAUUGCUAUUGCCACAACAAUUAUAAUCCAUUCCUCACAAUCAUGAUCACAAAUCAACAACAAUCAUAACAUGACAUAAGACCAACCUAAGAGGGUAAAGACCCCUCAUUAUUCUCUCAUGAUUAGACACCCUUAUAAGAAUAGUUCCCCCCCCCCAUUACCUUAGAAUUUUAAGCUCCAUUCUCUUCUACAAUGGUGGUCUUCUUCUUCUUCCUACCCUUGUCUCUUGCCCUAGGUCUCUCUUAUCCAAUUCUUUUACAUAUGAUCCCAACUUUAUAUUCUCUCCUCACCUUCUUAUAAGUAGACAAACUAAAUCUCUUAUUUUUAAAUCCUAUUAUUAUUAUUAUUAUUACUCUAAUAUUCAAAUCAACUAAAUUUUAUAUAUAUAUAUAUAUUUUUUUUUUUUAUAAUAUAUAUAAUUUGUUUAGUUUGAUUUGAUAUUAUAGUGAUAAUAAUAAUAAUAGGAUUUAAAAAUAAAUUAAAAAUAAGAGAUUUGGUUGGUCUACUUAUAAGAAGGUAAGGAGAGAACAUAAAGUUGGGAUCAUACGUAAAAGAAUUGAUUUCAGUGAACUCCCAACACCAGUCACGGGAUUGAAUCUUAGGAACACAUGAUCACCUUCCUUAAUUUCAAGAUGUUUUCUCCUCUUAUCAUGGUAGCUUUUUUGCCUACUUUGUGAUGCUUUCGUUUUAUCUCGAAUCAGCUUCACCUUCUCAGUAAUCUACUGGAGAAUUUCUGGUCCAAGUACAACACUCUCACCAGAUUCAAAUCAACACAGGCGUGUCCUACACCUCCGACCGUAUAAUGCUUCAAACGACUCCAUUUAAAUGAUAUAAUGAAAACUAUUAUUAUAAGUGAACUCGAUCAAUGGCAGAUGACUAUCCCAAGUACUUCCUUGUUCGAGUAUACAAGCCAUCAAAAAGUCCUCCAAUGACUGAAUAGUUCUUUUUGUCUGACCAUCAGUUUGAGAAUGAUAAGCAGAACUCAACCUCAGCUAUGUACCCAAAGUUUCCUGCAAACUUCCCCAAAAUAUGGAUUUAAGUCGUGGGUCUCUAUUGGAAACUAUACUCGACGAGACACCAUGUAACUUCACGAUUACCCUUAUAUAAAUCUCAUCCAACUUCAGUAACGGCAAAUUGAUAUUAAUCGGAAUUAAAUGGGCCGAUUUCAUCAAUCUAUCAAUAGUCACCCAUAUCGCAUCAAACCUUCUUAGAGUAUUCGGUAAUCCGGUCAUGAAGUCCAUCGAAAUACUCCACUCUGGAAUACCUAAUGGUUGCAUCAAACCCAAAGGUUUCUUGUGCCUUACCUUUGACUUCUGGCGAGUCAAACAUGCAUACACAAACUGCACUGUAUCUCGCUUCAUUCUUGGCCACCAAAAUAUUUUCUUGAGGUCCUGAUACAUUUUAGUAGCUCCGGGAUGAAUACUCAUACUGCUUUUAUGACUUUCCUCGAAAAUCAUCUUCUUCAGCUCAUAAUUGUUAUACACACAUACUCUACCUCAAAAUCUCAACACUCCAUGGUCAUCCAUUUUAAAGUCACUUUCUUCGUUUGAGUUCACUAAAGACAAGAAACCUACCAGCUUCAUAUCUAGCUUCUGAUUCUCCCUAAUUUCAUUAAGGAAUUCAUUAUUCACCUUUAACAUACUCAACAUCACACUUCCUGGUGUCAAUUCACAAACCAUACUCAAAUCUAUAAACUGCUCAAUAAGAUCCAACUCUCUAAUCAUCAAUGCCGACAUAUGUAGAGUCUUUCGACUUAAAGCAUCAACCACAAAAUUAGCUUUACAUGGAUGAUAACUUAAGCCAAAAUUAUAGUCUUUCAUAAAUUCCAUCUUAUCUGUAUCAUAUUCAAAAUGCGAAUGCAAAAUGUGAAUUCCACUUUGGUGCUCCCGGGCACAAUAUUGAAAACUAGAAAGCUCUAAAGAACGAGGUAUAGGAUCUGAUUGAUUCUAAAGCCAUUUCGUUCACACCUAAUGGUCCUAAUGUAAAUAACAAUCCUAUGCCUCCCCAUGUCGUCCAUUCUAUGAGUAUGUUGGAAGAAUCUGGAGAACGUAGCUUGGUGUUAAGGGUUGAUGAGAUGAAGAAUUCCUUGAUUAUGGUUAAAGAGAAGUUAUUGUUGAAUGAUGUGUUUCUGGGUUGCCCGUAUGAUUGUGAACAAUGUUUCUUGAGUCCUCAAAAGUGUGAAGAGUUGAGAUAUGGUAUUAAGCAAUUGAUGAAUAAAGGGACUUUUAUGAUGAAGUAGUUUCUGAUGAAGAGCAUAUGGCUAAUUUAGAGAUUCCUUAAAACCCUUUUCAAAUACCAGUAUAAGCCAGUCCAAUAACUCUUAUCGUGAUUAUUAUACCAUCCCCAUUUCAUUUUGAGAGUGCCAAGGAUGUUCUUUGGAAUUAUGAUUCCAUAAUCUAUAUUCACGGGAAAAAGCAAGAUGGACCCAUUACAAUUAAUGAGUCAGUGAUUAAUAUUGUUGGUACAGGGGGAUAACCAGAAGUGGUUGUAUAUUUGUGUAUGCGCCUUCUCUAGAGAAAGACAAUGUUGAAAUGUCUACAAAUAAUAAAGGUAAACAAGUUAUCAUUGCUAGUCAGGGGCAGGUUCCUCCCCAGACUAAAUCUACUUAUGAUGAUAUUGAGGAAUUCCUCAGGAUAAUAAAGAGAAGUGAUUAUAAGGUGGUUGACCAGCUCAACGGUUGACCAACUCAACUAAACACCUUCUAAGAUUUCCAUAUUGUCUCUAAAGUGCACGGAGAUGCUUUGAUUAAGUUCCUCGGUGUGGCUUACGUACCCCAAGAGAUGAUUAUGAAUCAAUUUGAGGGGGUCAUAGCUAACAUUGCAGCUGGUGGAUGUAUGGGUUUUUGCGAUGAUGAUUUGUCUCUAGAGGGUAAAGCUCACAAUAAAGCUCUUCAUAUCUCUAUUGAGUAUGCUGACACUGUUCUAUCGAGGGUCCUAGUUGAUAUAAUAUCUUCAUUGAAUGUACUUCCGAAAAACUCCAUGAUAAAGCUGACUAUAGAGGGGUUGUUGAUGAAAUUGAGUAUGCUGGUAGUCAGAGCCUCUGAUGGCUCCAAGAGGACUAUGGUAUGAGAGGUAGAUAUCCUAAUCAAAGUUGGCUCGUAUAACUUCUUUACUACUUUCUUUGUUAUAGACAUAUAUCCAGCCUACAACUACCUUUUAGGGCGUCUCUGGAUUCACUCAGCAGGGGUAGUUACUUCUACCAUCCAUCAAAAGCUGAAGUGCAUCAUCAAUAGUAAGAUGAUUACAAUAUAUCGUGAAGAGGGCACACUAGUUAGUCAAUUAUCUUCAUUCAGGUGCAUAGAGGUGGGUGGUGAGAUUCACGAGACUCCAUUUUAGGCUUUCGAAAUCUCUAACAUGAUAAUGGCUCCAUUCACAAUGGAGAAUCCAAGAAGUCAGAACUCCCUAUGUCUCCCCUGAAAGAUGCCAAAACAAUGUCUAAGACCCCAAUUUUGACCCUAAGAUCCCUCAUGCAAUUUCAUCAUAUGCAUUGGCAUUGGGAUCACACCUUGGCAUUCUCCUUACCCCUCCUUCAUUGGGUUUGUUUGGGGAGAGAUCACCAAGCACUAUGUGAUUGUAUCAUACUUGUAUAUUAUCUUUUUUUACUAACCAAAAUACCAAAAAUAUGUCUUUGUAUUUGUCUAACCCCUUUGUAGGUAGGGCAUGAUCCCCAUUGAUCUAUGAAGUUCAUAUUUAGGGUUUAAGACCCUCAUGGCUAAGAGCACAAACAAGGAUUGAUACAAAAUGUCUCUAAGAAUCAUAUAUGAGUCCCAUUUAUCUCUACAUGUCAUAUUGAUCAAGUAUUCUUCAAGAGUUUGGAAGUGAUUUGCCUUGGAAACCCUAGUUUGACUAGGUAUCUUAAGUAACUUCUCCAACAAGCUAUCUCACCAAUUGAUCAAAUUUCUCAAGGUACACUUCAAAAUUCAUCAUCUUAUGCAUAUAUGGUCUACCAUGAGCCUAUAAAGUCAAGAGAAUUGAAGGUUAGCAAGUUGGUUGAUGGUGGUUGGCCAGAUGAAUUCAUCUAAUCAAAACUGGGUCUCCUUAGACCCUAUCUCCUACAAUUUUCACCAUAUGAAAAUGAUUCCAAAAGCAAAGUUACUCUAAAUUAUACUAAAAACAACUUUCAUGUUGAAGUCUAUAGAUAAUUUUGCUUAGAAAGUCAUUUUACAUGUUGAAACAUUAUAGGUCAUUUUGUCUAAACCCUAAUUUGAAAGUCAACUUCCCAAGGACAUAACUUGCUCAAUUUUUAUGAGAUUAAAUAUUUCCAAGUUGUACAAUAAAAUUCAAGAUGUAUAAUACUUCAACUUUGAUGUUUGGAGUGAGAGCUAAAUCAACUUUUAUGAGCAUGUGAUAUGAGGAUACAUUAUAGGUCAUUUUUGCCCUAUACCAUUGAACAAGUGAUUUUCCUCAACUUCAAAAAUGCAUAAAAUGAGGAUACAUUAUAGGUCAUUUUUGCCCUAUACCAUUGAACAAGUGAUUUUCCUCAACUUCAAAAAUGCAUAACUCUAUCAUUCUAAAUCCAAAUGACAUGAAAUUGGUGACCAUUUUGAAGGUACUUGAAAGAGAUACAACGUUUAGGAAGAUACGUUUCUCAUUUGGAGCUCACAUAAAAAGUUAAGCAAGGUGGACUAUUGAGGUAUAUGACUUGACACUUAGAAAAAAUUUCAACAUGUUGAAAUUUACAAACUUCCACCUCAAAAUUCACCAUGAUUCAAGUCCCAAAUUAAAAAGUGUUCAACAUCAAACUUGUUUAUCUUGAUCUAAGCUUUCCAAAGAGUCCUAUUUCAUGCAUUUUGGAUGAGGUUUGCUAGGUCUGCGCAUGGUCUUAACAGGUCUGCAUCAAGUGGAAAAAUCAAAUGUCCAAAACUCCAUUUCACUUUGCCUUGCCAUUCAAGCAUGAUUUGAACUUCAGUGCAGUUGAAAUUGGAUCAUAAUGGAUUGCUUCAUGGGCCUGUACACACCUAUGCAAGCUUUUGCAUCACCCUUCCCAUUUUUAGCAAUUUUUCAAUUGUGCAAUUAUAAAUCCCAAAUGCUAUAAAUACAAGGCCUCUGAGCUCAUUUCAAACAAACCUUGCACGCCAGCUUUGCUCCCCAAUUGAAACCCUCACAAUUCAAAGGAAAACCUGAGAGUUUUCAGUUUGGAAAUUGAGUUUGAAUCUAAUUAUUUGGAGAUUCAAAAACUAUAGGAUCCAAAGCUUUGUACCAUUGCCAAACCACUUCUGCAAGCUCCUCGAGUUUGAAGCAAGCAAGAUCCAUUUCUGCACAGCAUUGAAGGUAAUUUUCAGAAAUCUUCUUCUCUUCGAUUCUCACUCAAUUCUCAUCAACUCUCUUGGAUAUUUGGUUGUCUGAAGUCCUACCAAUGUAGGCAAGAAGAUUGAGUUGCUUUGAGGUCAAAUUGAAGCAACUCAGUUGACACACCUCAAAAUUCAACUCCUUAUAUCUUUCUAUAUAUUUGGAGUUAGUUGAAAUUAAGGUCAUAUUCGUGCUCUACGCCAUUUUUUCUUUCAGAUCAUGUCCUUUUUUUUACAUUUUCUUGAAGGUGAUGAGUAAACCAGUCCGGUGGACUUCGCCUGAGAAGGUGACCGGAGGUCCAACACCGGUGGUGUGCUGGACACGUUCUGAUCCAUUGAUCUCAUUUGAAAUGUUUUAAUCCUGAGCGCCCAAAGUAAUUACCACGCGUGUGGAAUAGUUGACCAGGUGUAUGGUGGAACGCGCGCUCAUGUCCACUUGAUCUGCCACCUCAAUUAAUGAGGGAGAUCAAGUGGUCCACGUUUUUUUUUUUAAUUUUUUGAUUUUCAUUUUAUUUCAUUUGAUUUUCAUUAAUUCAUAUUAAUUUUAAUAUUAAUCCAAAAAAUAUGAGAGUUUCACCAAAAAAAUUUAAAUAAAAUCCUCUUUCAUAUUUUGAAUUAAAAUUAUUUUUUGGAUCAUUAUUAAUAUUUUUCAUGAUUUAACUAAUUUUGUGAAUAUUUUUAAUUGUUUAAAAAUACUUUUAAGUCUCCCAAAAUUCUGAAAUUUUUUCUCCAAGGUCCUUUGACCUUGUUUGACCUAUGAUAAAUCUCAUGGCCAUUUCUUUGAUGUUUUGAUGAGAUUUUAGGAAUUUGACAAACCAUAUUUAAUUUAAUGCCUUAUUUUUAGUAUUUUUAAAUUGAAUAAAUGCCAAAUAAUUGUGUUGAGCUAUCUUGAUGAUUUGUAUAAGUUUGACUUGUGUUGUUGGGCCUUGGUCAAGGUUGAUUUAGUAUUUUUAAAUUGAAUAAAUGCCAAAUAAUUGUGUUGAGCUAUCUUGAUGAUUUGUAUAAGUUUGACUUGUGUUGUUGGGCCUUGGUCAAGGUUGAUUUGACUUUGCUAGGUUAAGAUCAUUAAAUUUAGGGGAUUGAUGAAAUGUACAUUCCAUCUCCCAAAAUGAAUGAAUGAUCUUAAUUUGGUAAAAAUCCUCAUUUGACCAAUUUGAGUUUUGAUCUAUUCCCCUCCCUCUUCAUCUAAUUGUCAUUCUUUAUGCAUCCAUCUCAUUUGGCCUAUGAUAUCUCAAAGUUCUAAGGCUAGUUGGUUGAAAAAUCAACAUAAGUAUGGAUGAGAUUAGGCCACAUCUUUUUCACAUUCUUUUUUUGUGUGAUAUGUUCCAUGAGCAUAGUCCAUUAUACUAUGUCUCUAACAUGCAUUAAUACCAAAAUUCUAUUGCCCAGCCUCAGAUAGUUGUGACUUCUACAUAAGUCCAAUUACGAUUGCUUAACAUAACGCUAAAUCUUUGACACAAAAAGGCAUAGCAUUCUAGUUAGUGAGAUUCUAGUAUCCCCUAUUUCAUGGUAUUGUGUGGAAACUUGGCCUUUUUUUCUUCCUUUGGAAGAUGUCUUGGUUCAAGGAUCCAUGCUUGUGAUAAGUGGGCCGAGUGUUGAUAACAUGAAACUAUAUCACAUUUUUAGACUUGAUUUAAUUAAAUUAUAUCGUUAUUUGAUUCAAUUUAUUUCAUAUUAUUCGAUAUUACUCGGUAUUUUCUUAUUAUUUAUUUCAGUAUUAUUUAAAGCACAUGUGAAAAAAAAGAAAAGGGGUGCAAAAAGAAGAUUUUCUAGGAAAAGCAGCAAGCUGAAGCACCAAAGCCCAGCCCACGCUUUGGAAAAAAAAAAAGAUUGUUGUCACGACCGCAACAAGCACGUGCCGAUCGCCACGUCCUAAAACCUAGUGUUACGACCGUAACACAUAGUGUGACGGACGUCACACAUUCCAUCCUAUAUUUUAGGCUUUACGUGCGGAACGGAGUGGACGGUUUUCCCCUAAAUUCUCUCAUGCACUCGGAGACGUUUUGAACCAUACUGAAGACCCAUUCUAGGAAACGGUUAUUUUUUUUGGAGGUUAAUAUAAAUAAACCUCACAAAAGCCAAUUAAAGCUCUCUCUUCUCCGUAUAAUUUUUCCAGCAUUCUAAUUUUUCAAGCAAUUUAUUUCUUUUUCUUUUCUAGUUUAAUUUCCGAAGCAUACAAUUUAUUUUCUCACGAUAGUUUCUACACCGGAAACUAGUGUGUAAUUUUUACUAGAUCAAACCUUACGUUAGAUCAUAGUAUUUUAUUUCCUUGUUUUUACUUUCCUAUCUGAUCGAGAAUUGUGAAGAACAACUCCAACCGACUUGUGGUGGAGUGUUCGAGCACCGAAGCGUAGGAGAUAAAAUCCAGAUUUCUAGUAUUUUUCCAGGUUCAUUAAUUAAUUGAUUUAUUGUUUUAAUUUACAUAUGCUUUGUUCGCGCUUGUUUAUAUAUAUUGUUUGUUUGAUAUGGCCGUAUUUAUGCAUGAUUAUUGUUUAGCAUGUUUAUCAUGUCUGGCUAAUUAAUUUAGAUAUCGGUAUGUAAAGUAAGCGGAAUAAAGGAAUCAAAUUGGAGUUGGUUUAAAUUUAUUUCAAAAUAUAGUCACUCUUUUUCUGGUCUCAAUUUACAAAGUUAAUACCAAGGUUUUUGUACGAGAGUAAAAGACAUAAAGAAGUUAAAAUCAAUAGAACGACGGUGUGAGUUUUUAACUGGACGAUGUAAAUUGAACAUUAACUUUAAAUCGGGGCGAAAGCAAUUUUUAAGGUAAAUUAAAUUCUAAUUAUUUUAAAAAAUUAUUUUUAAAAGUUAAAUGUGAGGACGAGAGUUAAGCAUUUAAGUUUAAUCAUAUAAUCUGAGUCAACAGAGCGAGAGUUUGAGACGAGGGCGUUUAAACGGUUAGUAUUUUCUCAAAAGGAGUUUCUAUAGAUUCUAUUAUUUUCAAAAGUUAUUUUAGAUUUAACGAAAUAGUGAGAGCGUACGUUAAAAUAUAAAGUCAUAGUCUAAUUCAACAGAGCGAGAGUUUGAGGGAAAGACUUUUAAUUAAUAGUGUUUACUGAAAAGACUUAUUUUAAAUUAAGAAAAAGACCAACGAAGAUUUGAUUCCCCAAAUACGACGAACUACAUACUGAUAUCCAUCAAUAAACUAUAAAAUAGAAGAUCCAAAUUUAAUUUUAUUUUUUUCCCUAAUCAUUAAAGUAUCAUCCGCCUUAGCUUUACGCAGUAACCCUAGAAAAACGGUAGAUCGAUUCAUUAAGUCCCUGUGGGAUCGAUAUCUUUUAAAACUACGCGAUUAGACUGUACGCUUGCAGUUAGUGCCCCGAUAGACUCAUAAAGUCGCGAUCAAGUUUUUGGCGCCGUUGUCGGGGACUUUUAUUUAGUCGAUAUCGUAACUCUUCUGUUACGCUGUAGAGACUAAGGCAAUUUUUUAUUUUUUCCCUUUUUUCGUUGAUUUGUAUGCCACACACUCACUUACAAGGCGAGCCGUACUACUUACGAAUCAACGACGUUGAACGAUAUCUCUGAUUAUUACGACGAAUUCGGGAGUAUCGUGCUAGAAACAAUCUUCCUCCAAUCGAAAUUCCUGAUCUCAAAAAUCUCCUUCCUUUGACGAUACCAGCGAUGGCCGAACCAGCUCGUGUUCUUCGAGAUUACGCUGCUCCAUCGCAGGAUGAGCCGCAUUCGAGUAUUGCUCCACCCGCAAUUGAAGCAAACAACUUCGAACUUAAACCUUUGCUGUUGCAGGCAGUGCAACAGAAUCAAUUUUCUGGAAAUCCUACCGAGGAUCCAAACCUUCAUUUAUCCGUAUUUGUCCAAUACGCUGAUACUGUUAAAGCUAAUGGUGUCAGUUUAGAGGUAAUUCGACUUCGUAUUUUUCCUUUCUCGUUAAGAGAUAAAGCUAGAAGAUGGCUUCAGUCUCUUCCUUCCAACUCAAUCACCACAUGGAAUGAGUUGAAGAAAGUCUUUCUUGCCCGAUAUUUUCCUUCAAGCAAAACAGCUAUGUUGAGAGCCCAGAUAAAUGGAUUUAAGCAAAAAGAUAACGAAUCUCUUUUUGAAUCAUGGGAAAGAUACAAGGACAUGAUGAGACUUUGCUCACACCAUGGUUUAGAGGACUGGUUAGUAAUUCACACCUUCUACAAUGGUCUCUUGUACAACACAAGGUUAACAAUAGACGCCGCCGCCGGUGGUGUGCUUAUGGAUAAACCUUACACCGUCGCUUAUCAACUUAUCGAGAGCAUGGCCCAAAAUCAUUAUCAGUGGGGAAGCGACCGAACAGUGGUAGAAAAACCUCAAACAAAAGGUGGCAUGUACGAGAUAAGUAGCCUUGAUCAUGUUAAUGCAUGCAAAGUGGCAUGCUCUUGCCCAAAAUGAAAGUAAUUAUCACACUCCAGCCACCCGUGUUGCCUGUAAUCAAAUUGCAAUAUAAUGAAUUCAAGUCACAUCCUACAGAUUUAACUCCUAAAAGGAAUUCAAAACAGUCAGGUAACUAUUCAAAAAUUUUACUACAUACCUAUAACUCAAACGGAAGAACCAUCCUAAUUUUCGUAUAAAAGUAAACAGCUUAUACGCACCAGGUCAAGCCCAGUCAACUCCAGCUUACCAUUGAUAUCAAAAGCCGACCCAUCUACACCUAACAAUAAUGUUCCUAGAAAUCAACUUGGAAAAUCUGAUGGAAGAACUUCAUAGCUUCUCAACAGCAAACCAAUAAAGAGUUCUUAACAAGAAUGUACAAACAGCGAACAGAUUAAACAACUAGCAAGUAAGUAGAUGCCCGGCUACCCAUAACAAAAGCUUGAAACACAAAUCUCGCAAGUAGCUCAACAACAGCGUCUACUGUGCCCAACUGUACUUUCCUGGACAGCACAACCUAAUCCGAAAAGGCCACGCUCAGCACUUAUAUUACGAAGUGGUACAGAGUAGAAGGACCAUCUGACCCAAGGAUUGAGAACCAAAACUCUAAAAAGUCAACUGAGGAAAAGGUAAACCUAAGGAAAGGAAGAGUGUAAUGAAAACCGUAGAAAAAAAAACCUUAUGUACUCCACCGCCUUACACAACCACCUAUCCCUUAUCCUCAAAGGCUAAUAAAACCAAAAACGCGGCCAAUUUAAAAAAUUUGUUGACCCUAACUGAACAAUAACGUCACAAUCCCUUUACAGAAGCUAUUACACAAAUGCCCUAUAUGCUAGUUCUAAAAGAAUUUAACUAAUAAAAGGAAACUUAAGAUAACGAAACUGUUUACACUCACGCGAGUGUAGCGCAAUAACCAAAAUAUGCCUCCUAAACUUAAAAAUCUGUAUUUUCUAUACCCUGCAUAUAGGAAAAUUAUGUCAUAGACAAAGCUUCUAUCUGCGAUUUUAGGAGCCGUACAGUGUAGCCCUUGUCCAUAAUGCAAGAAACUGAAAUGGGAGAAUUAAGACCAACUACAAUGUUUGUGAAUUAGCAGAUCAUCAUAAUUAUCCCGUAGAAUUCUUGAAACGUUCCCGUGCGCAUAGUCAUUCUAACAUUCCACCGAUUUUAUAAUUAUCGACAUAAGAGAAAGAUAAGUUUACCCCCAUUAUAUUGGAAGAGCCCUUCUAUGCAACCUUCCGGUGCUUCAUAGACGUAAACGAGAGAAUCAACUUCGAAGUAGGAAGAAGAUAAAAUUGAUUAUUCUUUCCCAAUUUUUAAAGCACCUGCAAAAGAAGACACAUGUCAUCAUGGAUAUCAUCGAUAAUCAAUAAAAGAAACACAUUCGAAGAAUGACAAUUUCGAACUUGUAGAAACAAACGAACCAAUUUAUCAAUCACAUCAGUCUCGAAUGCCUUAAGAAAAAUCACCUCGACUGAAAACCACUUCCAAAAAUCUGAGAUAAUGAAUUUCCUAGACUUAGAACUUGGAACGACCAGUAAUAGCAACUGCAACCUAGGAAAAACUGAAACCAAAAAACUCUACAUUAUCUUAAGAAAAUAUUCCACCGCAUUAGGAUACAACAUCACCGAUUUAAAGCGGAUAAGUCCUUCGAGUUUGUAUGCCCGCAUCAGCUAAAGAAGACUGUAAAACUUCUGAGGGGAACACCAGAGGAACUAACCCAAUCAUGAUGAGGUAUGAGAAGGAAGAACGAAUAUGUAGAGGCAGGUAAUUAUAUAUCUCAUACUCGAUAGCAAAUGGUUAGUCUGUAUCACGUAGUACCAAAACAGAGGUAUAACGUAAUCGAAAAUAAAGAAGAACUAUACAACGAAUGAAUCGGAUGGAGAUGUGCAUUAUUACUAGAAAGCUUAAACAAAGGCAACCACGAAAAAUUUUCUUUACCAUUCAUAGACCAGAUGUCUAGACGACUGUAAAGCGCAUCUCAUUUCUGCUAUCUGGACGGUCUCGGUUCUUCUUCAAAUACCAUUCAUCUCGAUGACGCAAAAAAACAAUUCACAAUGUCUUUGGUACUUCGCUAUCGACGAUCCAUUGCUUGUGCAAUGCCUGAACUUUCCAAAGAUGCAUGAUGCAAUAUCUGCGGAUUUUCUCGAAAAACAAUCAUAGAAGUCUUUAUGGAUGCACUUUUCCGUAUCGGGCACAAAUCUCGAAAAUGUUGAAAACCUAUAGAAAUAGGUUCUAAGACAAUGUGUAAAAGUAAACCUAGUAGUUAACUUGGGAAAAAUGGUCACUUUAUGUACAAGAAGGAAUUUUUUUAGACACAGUCAUAUCAAUAGAGGAUAAUAGACAAACAAAAUUGAAGAAUCGAACUACUCAACCUACCGAAACUUUAGGGAAAUACGACGCUCUAGGACAUGCUGUUUUAACCGAGUUCAUUUAAGAUUUCUCUAA
rnacentral:lncRNA from 1 species